rnacentral:lncRNA from 1 species
UUUGAUAUUCUGGAUCAGGAAUCCUUUGCAGACAUUUACUUCGUCGGUGGAUAUAGGGUUUCGUUUUCUUAGUUGGUGAAUAUAGGGUCUCGUUUUUGGUAUUUAACCAAUGCUAUAUACCGUCCGAUUUUAUUUUGUGCACUCCGUAAAUAGACUAAACUAUCUUUCACUAAAAAAAUUACUUUGUCAAUCCGUUUUUACNNNNNNNNNNNNNNNNNNNNNNNNNNNNNNNNNNNNNNNNNNNNNNNNNNNNUAAUAUUUAUUUAGCUCUGUUUUUUUAGACAUAAUUUUCAUAUUUAUUUAUAAAAAAAUUAUAUUAAUAAAAACAUACCGCAUAAAAUAAAAAACGGACAAUAAAAAGUAAAACUGAAUUCCGUUAGUAAAAAACAAACUAUACAAAGUAAAAACGAACUGAAUUUGUAAUUUUUUUCAUUAAGGGUUACAUAUUGUACAAAAUAAAAUACAGACGGUAUAUAACAUCAUUCCUGAGAUAGUAGCUAUUACAUUCAAUUCACUGAUAUUUGCAUAUUGGGAGGAAAACUAAACAGAAUAGACUGAAAUAUCGUUCAUUUGAUUUAUCAGAAUGACUAUUAAGGGUGUUUCCAUUUUCAAAGAUAUAAUAGUUGAUUAUUACUCGACCUGCUCGAGACUAUAUAACUACAAUAUUAAAUCAAGUGGGUAUAAAUAAGUAGUUAAACUUCAUGAAACAACCAAUUCUCGUUAAAUUUUAAUUUACCAUCUUAUCCCUCUUCGCAAUCCAACAUUGAUUACAUGCGAAAAUUUCCCAUCCGAAAAGUAUCACUCAGUUCCGCCCCAUCAGUUGUUGCAACUUUAACUACAAGAUUAUUUCGAAGAUCAUGACAACACCACUUCGCAAAUGGAUUCCUCUUAUCGUGUCUGAGAUGCAAUCGGCAUUCAUGGGAGGUAGGGUAAUUUAAGACAACAUCAUGAUAAUGCAUGAGGUGAUGCACCACUUUAAGAGCAAAGCCGGAAAAUUCCAAUGGGACAUGAUGAUAAAAAUGGACAUGAAGAAAGCCUUUGAUAUGGUGGACUGGAAGGGCCUUGGAAAUAUUCUGAAAACAAUGGGAUUUCACGACACCUAGUGCAACUGGAUCGGUGAGUGCAUCGAGACGGUUAAUUUCUCUAUUCUUUGCAACAGCAGCCCUACUGACACCUUCUCUCCCUCGAGAGGAAUCAGAUAAGGAGACCCACUCUCUCCAUUUCUCUUCAUUUUAUUAACAAAUUCAUUUUCAUUUCUCAUCGAUAAAAGAAUGGAGAAUGGGAAGGUUAAAGGCCUUGAGCUUAAUCUCUGUAGCCCGACUCUGACUCAUGUCCUUUUUGCCGACGACAGCAUCCUCUUCAGCGAUGCUUCCACUUCAGAGGCUAUCCAAAUAAAGAAAAUCAUGGAAGAGUAUGCAAACCUCACAGAACAAAUAUUUAAUAAUGAUAAAUCUGCAAUCAUGUUUUUCCGGCACACCCCUCAAGCUUUAAAGGACAUUAUUUACAACCACCUCCAGUACCUACUAUCCAGAAUGGAACACAUUGGUCAAUAGUAGAAAAGCAUUUGUUUAUCCCACGGGGUAAGGAGACCCUUCUGAAGGCAGUCUAUCAAAGCAUUCCGACAUACGUUAUGUCAUGCUUCCUGCUUCCAAAGGAUAUCACAAAUAAAAUGAAUUCUAGACUUGGAGCUUUCUUUUGGGGUGGCUCAAUGACUAAGAAAUCUAUUUACUGGGCGGCGGGAUCCAUCUUAACCAAGCCUAAAUGUGAAGGCGGUCUUGGCUUCAAGAACUUCUGGCUCUUCAAUCUCGCCCUUCUGGCCAUGUAAGGAUGGAGGAUUAUACAUGAGAAGGGCCAUCUCUGGACACGGCUUCUCAAAAGCAUAUAUUUCUACACUUCUGAUUUCAUGAGUGUCCCAAAAGGGAAGACCCCUUCAUGGAUCUGGGCCAACCUUUGCGACUCCUGUGAGGUCCUCCAUAAGGAAAUGAGAAAAAAUCUCAUCAACAAAAACUCGAUCUGGGUGGGGAAAGAUCCAUGGAUUCCUUCUAUUUCAAGUUUCCGCCUUGAUGUCACAGCUCCUGAGAACUUGCUUGCAUGCUAUUUAUUUACAGAGGACAACUGGAAUUGGGACAUCAAUGCCCUUAAUGCCAUUUGCUCGCCAUUCGAAGUUGAGACCAUCUCUAUGAUCCUUAUAGGUCUGCAAUUAGAGGAUGAUACUUGGGUCUGACACCCAAACCCAAAUGAAAAGUUCACAGUCAAGUAUGCCUACCACACCAUCCGAAGAGCAUACCAAGAGGACACCCCAUAUCAAUUUUCGCACAUCGACCAAACCAUUUGGAAAUGGAUGUGGCGUCUUCUCCUCCCUCUAAAAUUCUUACUCUUUCUUUGGAGAGAGACAAGAAAUGCAAUUGCCACAAAGAAGAACCUUUGGAGACGUAAAUGCUCACCCUCACCCCUCUGUGACAUUUGCAAGUCUGUUAAUGAAGACGUCAAACAUUGCUUUUUCCUCUGUCCAAAGGCUCGAGAGGUAUGGGGAAAGGCUAUGCCUUCAGCCUCUCCUCCAGCCUCUGGCGUCACUCUGCUCAAUGGUUUUUCUCCUCUAAAAAAGCCUCCCCCUCCUUCAAUAUUAAGAGGUGUAUUGCACUCCUUUGGAGUACCUGGAGAGCAAGGAACGAACUGAUCUUUCGAGAGACGGCCACCAACAUUAAUGAGAUAAUCAGGAACUCAGAGAAAAUCUACGAUAAUUGGAUGCUUUUCAUACCGACUCAUGAAUCUGGCACCAUCAUUCCAACCGUACGGUUUCCUAGUCCACCACUUAGUGGGGUUACUCACCAGGUGAUGUUCUUCGACGCUCUUUUAUCCAGAAUAGCCUUGUGGCGGGUUAUGGGGUUGUCAUUAUUAAUUCUCAUGAAAAAGGUGGCCGAUGGGUUAGCUAGUCAGAUAUCUUGCUCAUCCGUCCUUGUGGCUGAAAUUAAGACCCUUCUGGAAGCCUUGAGAGAAGCGACAGACACCUCAACUCCCUCUCUCAUUAAGUCUGACUGUCUUGUGUUCAUUGCCGCUCUUAGGGGCGAGAUAGCUUGUUGGCCUUGAGAAUGUCAUACAUGGCUUCUCCUCAUAAAGGAAAUCCUUCUCACCCAUGAUCGAAUUUCUUUAACCUAUGUCCCUCGAACUCUGAAUCAAACAGCUGAUUGAGUGGCGCGAAAUGCUCGUCUCGAUCCUCUUUAAUUAACUAAAAAUGUUUAACGGAAGAGAAAAAUUUAACGGUACUAUCCCCCUCUUUGUGUCUUCCUCUUCCUCCGUCUUCCUCCUUUUUUCUCCUCUCAGUCUCUCUCUCUCUCUCUCUCUCUUAAAUGCUCACGAAAAGGAAGUGCAGAGUCCCAAAUCAACACCACUGAUUCUCUCUCUCUCUUAAAUGGUCACGAAAAGGAAGUGCAGAGUCCCAAAUCAACACCACUGAUUGGUGUUAGCCAAUAGUUUUUAGCAGUGGCCUUCCAUUUUUAAAUAAAAGAGAAGAAAGACUCUCAAAUAAAAGAAGGAGAAAGGCUAUACCACUGUUUUACUGUCCCAUAACAUUCGUCCACUUGGCCAAUCAAGAUAAGGACCAUAUCCCCAAAAUAAUCAGACCAAUAAUUCAAUUACUGAAAUCCAAACAACAAAUCCAGCCAAUAGAUGGCGAAAGUUCACGCCUUUACUUACAAAAAACAUGAAUAAUAAAUGCGUCCCUUGGACCAACCCAAGAGCCAGAGUCGGGUCGGACCCCAAGAACCAGAAUCAUCACCCGAUUUCCAACACGUAUAUAAAUACUCGAGAACAUCCAGCGAGGCGCCCAAACUACCUCCUGCGACAAAACAUAAUUGAUCAGCAUAUAAUUAUGGUGAUACAUAGAGUCGAGAUGUGUAUAUCGUUGGCGAAGCUCGCAGUGGAGUUCGUUCUCUCCGUGGCGGAAGCUGUCCACGUCGUUCAACGAGACACCAUCGCCGGCGGCGGCGGCGGCGAUGACGUUGUCCUUCUCUUGCCGCAGCUCCGCCGUCCUAGCUACGCUUACUUCAGCGGCGGCGCCCCUUCUUCUUCUGCCGUUUCGGUUCCUUUGGUUGGGUUCCUUCCUUAAAGAGAGAACAAAAAAGUAUUAGUUCAUUUCUUCCUCCUCCCGGAGAAAAACAACGCCGCCGCCGCCGCCGACAAACCGACAAAAGCCCCAGCUGGUUUUAAUUUUCUCCGGUUCGUUGACUUUUCUUUUUUGGGCGGUAUACGGUACUAUAUAUGUACUGUUCACGAUGUAUGUAUAGACGUAUUCUUUAGAGUGAAAAAAAUUAAUGUUAAAAAGAGUCGGCUGCUAUUCUCCUUUCAUCUGCGGUCGGUACUCCAUCUCCUUGCCGCCGGCCGACAACACUUCACCUCUUCAUCGACGGCAGGCUAUAUUGCUUCUUCUUCUUCCGUCUAUGUUCGAAGAACUUCCGAUUUCGCUUCGUUUUAUAAAUUUUCAACGAUUGAGAUUGAAUGGGUGAUUUGAAAAAGAGAAUCGUUUUACGAUAAGACAAAAAUCAUUUGUCUCACCAUUUACGAACGCAACGAGGACAGCCCAAGUAGGAUCUCGGUUGGUCAAGGUCGGAGUUGCCGCCGUGGUUGUUGUUCUCGCUACUGCUAACUGACUCUUUAAUGUCGAAGUUGGCCGCCGUGCAGUUGUCUUCAACCGGCUUAAUUACUGGUGCCAAUGUUCGAUCCUUGAUGCACACCCUUGACAUUACUUGCAGGCUUCUACUCAUAACAAUAAGAGAAGCAGACAAUUAAACCCAUGGUACGAGGAGCUUCUAUGGUAGUCAGCGACCCAUAUCCGAGCUAAUUAUUCAUGAGAUUUGGUAGUUUCUAACCACAUAAGCAAUAACGGGGUUCGCCUCCAAACGGAGGAGCAUGUAUUCAGGAGAUCCGCAAGUUCCUUGUCUUCUUUCCAGAUGUCUUACAGUUAGUACGGCGGGCAGAUAAUGGAGUCGCCCAUUGCGUGACUCGCAUGGCCCUUAAAUAUUUCCUCGGAAUAUUGCCGGUAACCCUUCUUCCGUAAAUUGAUUAAGUAUUUUUUUAUCUUUAUGCGUUAUUUUUUUAUUUGUGCCCGGAGCCUAUCUAUAAAAUAAGUGUAACGUUGUUUGCUUGUUUAACGUAUAUAUAGUAGGGACCAGGAAUAUUAUCCACAUACAUAUAGUUGCUAAUUAAUCACACUAACAAAUUAACCCAUCUAGUCAUAUGUUUAUAAUCUAACGUGUAAAGUGCAAAGUGGUUAUAUAAUAAUCGAUAUCAAAAGUCUUAUUAAUAAAUUGCACUUUUUUUUAUUAAAGUUAUGUGAAUAAAAUCAUGCAACGCAAGUUGGCUAACCCCUGUCGUGACACAUUUACAAAUAAAUUAAAUAUAUGCAACUCUCAAAUCUCAAUCAAUUACCAAUCAACUUGUGAUUGUGAUGUUGUCCACUAAAAUAAAUAAAUUAUCACCAUACAUAUAAUUAAUGGUUCGUAAACCAAUUUGAACCGGCUAAUUCAAAUGGUUCACUGUACUUGUAGUGAAUAUAGGGUUUCGUCUCGGAUACUUGCCAAACUCUCGACUACAUAAAGACAAAUAAAAGUACGCAUAUAUAUUUUAUGAUUUAGUGGUUCGAUUCAUUAUCCUUGUACAUACAUAGAAUAACAUUUCCCGAAUUCAAUUUAUUGGCAUUUACAUAUCGGAAAGAAAAACUAAUGAUAUUUUCAAUUGACUCGGUCCGACAAUUGUUCCACCCAAAAAAUAAAACAACAACAUGAUUGGGAAAGAAUAUCCCAUCUGGUAUUCUGAUUCGUACAUUUCUUUCAAUACAGAUAAGAUCAUAUAAUUAAAUAUCCGUCCCUUCGCGCAACCAAAGAGGCAGAGUUGGAAUCGAACCCAGAAUCAAAAAUCAAUCCGAUUUUCAACACAUAAAACACUCGUACGAGCAUCGUAAUAAGAAGCAUCCAGACAUUCAACAGCCAGUAAAUCCUAGUAGUGAAUUUCUUAUUUCUUGCACUUUCGGCUUAAUUAUAACUACUAUGGUGGUGAUACACAGAGUGGAGAUGUGCAUUUCGCUGGGGAAGCUCGCUGUGGAGUUCGUGCUCUCCGUGGCGGAAGCUGUCCACGUCGUUCAACGGGACACACUCGCCGGCAGCGGCGGCGGCGAUGAAGUGAUCCUCUUGCCGCAGCUCCGCAGCCGGAGUCCUAGCUAUGCUUAUGCUUACUCCGGCGGCAUUUCUGAGUCCGCCGUUUCGGUUCCCUUCGUUGCGUUUUUUCCUUAGAGGCUAAGGAGAGAAAAGACGGACAAUUCAUUUCUUCCUCCGCCGUAGAGUCGCCUGAAAGACCGCCGCCGCCGACAAACCGACAAAAGCCCCAGCUGCUUUAAUUUUGAAUUUUUUUUUCUCGUAUUUGUUGAAUGUUUUUUCUUGGGCGCGGCGGUAUACGGUACUGUGUACGUAACGUAUGUAUAAACGUAUUCUUUUUUCCUUCCCUUCGUUUAGUUUGGAGGACAUAAUAAUAAAAUCUAAUCUCUUUUAAAAAUAGUGGUUUUUUAAUGGCUCAUAUCAUUGGACCGAUCAUUAUAUGUUAUUAUACGAGUAUUUUAUCAAUAGGUCGCAACUAUUUUUUACGAAACAUAAUUAAAGUUUGAUACGAUUUGAUUUCGUUAUGAUGUUCUUGAUGUUUUAAAAGAUCGGACAGUUUCAUAAGAACGAGACGAAGAAGAAGAAGGUGAUAUCAAAAUGACAAUUAACACACAUAUAUAUGGCAACAAAUGUUACAUAAAUAAUUAGAAAUGAACACAUGAUCGUCUUUCUCACAACAAUGAGUGGUGUUUUUCUCAUUCUCUGUUAACUUAAUUUUUGUGAAUUAGUAGCCUGGGAACAUUGGCGGCGGAGGAGACGAGUAUUGGAAGCCAAGGUUUGGCGGGAGGACCACGUCUGGCAUCGGCGGCGGUGAUGAUUUCGCCGGUGGAGGAAGAGGGCGUUCUUGCUCCGGUGGUGAUGGUGGUGAUGUUUUGGAUGGCGGAGGAAGAGAGUGUUCCGGCUCCUCCGGUGGGGGUGAUGAUUUUGAUGGAGGAGGAAGGGGUUGUUCCGGCUCCGGUGGUGAUGAUUUCACUGGUGGAGGAAGCUGUGGUGGUUUUGACUCCGGUGGGGGUGAUUUGGAUGGAGGAGGAACGGAGGGCUCUGGCUUCGGUGGUGGCUUUUGGACUACUGGUGGAGGUGGAGAGAAAACCGGAGGAGGAGGGGAGUGAACCGGAGGAGGAGGGGAGUGAACCGGUGGUGGAGGAGAGUGAACCGGUGGUGGAGGUGAUGGGAGAGGUGUUGGUGGCGGUGGUGGAGAAUGGACCGGAGGAGGAGGAGAGUGAACUGGUGGUGGUGGGGAAUGGACCGGAGGAGGCGGGGAAAACACCGGUGGAGGAGGAGAGUGGACAGGUGGCGGCGGAGAGUGCACCGGUGCUGGUGGUGGAGGGGAAUGAACCGGUGCCGGUGGUGGAGGUGAAUGAACCGGUGCUGGUGGUGGCGGGGAAUGACCCGGUGCCGGUGGGGGCGACACACGAACCGGCGAUGGAGAUGGAACAGGCGUUGGCGCAGGUGACACACGAACUGGCGAUGGAGAUGGAACAGGCGUUGGUGGAGGCGAGGAUUGGACCGGUGAUGGAGAUGGAACCGGGGCCGAUUGUGGCGGUGGAGGGCGGCUCAUACCACCGCUCGCCGGCAAAUGUGGGUCCUCCUCCGGCGACGGUGUCGGCUUUGGCUUCGGUGGAGCUUCUCCUCCAUCACCCUUACUGCUACCGCCACCACCACCUCCACCACCGCACCUAUCCUUACUACAAUCCACUGGUUUCAUCACCACCGGAUUGCAAACUUUAGGAGUCUUCUGCAUCGGCCGAUCCAACAAACAAUUAUCAUGAUCAUCGAACACCACAUCUCUCCUCGACUUUGAGUUACAAGAUGGUCCCUCUCCGUUGAAAUAGUUAGAACCAAACGUGAAAUUCUUCAACGCCGGCAGCUUGCAGAUCUCCUCAGGCACUAAUCCAGUCAUCUUGUUGCUCGAAAUAUCCAACAUCUCAACGCUCUUCAACCCUGAAAAGCUCGAUGGGAUGGGACCCACGAAGCCGCUACCGCUCACGUCAAACACGGUCACAUUCUUGAGGUUUCCGAUCUCCGGUGGGAAGCAACCUCCGAGGCUGUUUCCGGCGAAGAUGAUCUCCUGUACGUUAGGCAUCAUCCCGAUGCUGUGAGGGAUGCAACCGGUGAAGUUGUUGAAAGCCAACGUGACAACGCUGACCGUGGAGUUCCCUAGCGUGUCAGGAAUUGACGACGUGAACCGAUUAUUGUUCAAGAACAAGGCGUCGAGUCCCUUAGUGAAGACCUCCGGCGGCAAGCUCCCUUCAAAGUUGUUGAACCUAAGGUCAACAAAUUUGAUCUCCUUCCAACACAUCACAACCUGAGGGAAGGGCCCCACGAGACGGUUGUUGCUCACAUCAAACUCGUACAUUAUCGUCAUGUUGCAAAAAGACUUCGGGAUGAUCCCGCAAAAUCGGUUCGAGUUCAGAUGCAACAACGCAAGGUCGGUGAGCAAACCCAACUCAGAGGGGAAAUACCCCGCAAUGUCAGCAUGGUUAAGAUCGAUCCCCGCAACAACGUUCAGCUUCGAAUCAUCCAGUGCGGGGGCACAAUACACUCCCUUGUAGGAACAUACGUCCGACCCCACCCACGUGCCGGUCAUGUUCAUUGGGUCCGAGUAGAUUCCCUUCUUCCACGCCUGUAGGGCCACAUAGGCGUUCUUCAACCUCGGAUUCUCAAACUUCAAAUUAGGAUCCACAUCGCUCCCCGCCGGCUCUUUACCCUGCUCGUUCAACGUAAGGAGCUGGCGACGGGCGAUGUAGGAGGCUUCAGCGUCCGUCAAAGCAUCAGAGAAGGCCGAGAAUGAAGGGGAGGAGAAAAGAGAGAAGAAGAGAAGGAGAAGGCAGCCCAAGGAGUUGAGAAAGGGAGGAGCCAUGUCUAAACACCUUGGACUGCCCAAGGCUUGCUUAUAGCAAUGUAUUGGCAUUUGGGGGGAGAGGGUGUUAUAAGAAUUGGAGGCCAAUUGAAAAUGGAAAUCAAGUAGAGAUCGUAGGUUGUUUUGUUGUGUGCUAUUUUUGGGGGCCACCGUAGAAUUAUGGGAGCCUUUUGUUUUUGAAACAAAAUGCUCCUUAAUCGGGUCUUUUGUCUUCUAAUUUUGGAACAUAUUUAGGGUUGUCACAUUGAGGGUUAAUCGUUGAAAAUUAGAGAUAGACACCAAAUAGGCUUAAAUUAGGAUUAUGCUGCGUUAUCUAUAACUUAAAAUCAUCCACAAAACAAAAUGAGCUUGCCCAUGUCUUAGCACGAUAUUCUCGGUUCUUUGCGUUACUUGUUUUAGGUAAUAUCUCUUCGGUGCGAUUAGACAAUGUUGUUGAUUCAGAAUUAUACCAACAAAAGGCAUGUGUUUAUGUACAUUGUGAUCUUAAAAUGUGUUAUUUUCGGUAAUGAAUGGGAAUGAAUAUAAAAUCCGAAAUGUAGUUGUUUGGAUAGUGAUAUAUGGAAAUGAAAUUGAUAAAUUAGUUUUAAGUUUAUUCCAAGCAGCAAGCCUCUCACUUUUACACCUAACAAGUAUAAGAGACGGUACCUGAAGCUGAGAUUACAAGGUCAGGCAAAUUUACUUAUGAAUGUUCUUCUUCUGCUUCUUCUUGGUGUUCAACUGAGAGGGUAAACCAGCUGGGGGUCCAGCUCUCUUCUUGCCAAAUGCACAGGUCCUGCUUUCCGAUUCGCCAUCGCUGUCAUCAUCACUUUUGUCACCUCCAGGAUCGCCCCUCUCGUUACCAACUCCGGCAGCUCUCUUCUUCCCAGCUUCCAACUUGUUGUGCAGUCUCCGUGCUGCCGGAUCACUAGAAGGCGUAAUUUUGGAUUGUGGAGCUGCUCUGGCUCCGAGUCCAAGCCUGAACGAACAACCGGAGUGAGAUGUUUUCAAGUUCAAAUAACAUUAAAACGUAUUAUAUACAUGUCAUCAAGUUUGUACAGACAUCAAUUCAGACUUUCGGGAAGUAUAAUACACACCAUCUUUUGGCACAUAUAACUAGUUAUAUUAUCAAUCUUAUAACUAGUUUAUUGGAAUCAAAUAAACUAGUUAUUUGGUCGUAUAACUAGUUAUUCAAACAUAUCGGAGUGGGAUGUUUAAUUUUAUAACUACUUUAUUCAGGCUUGGACUUGGACGAACAACUGGAGUGAGAUGUUUUUCUAGAGCUGGUCCACUUAACACUGAAAGCCAGAAUGAAAAAGGGAAGUAAACGGAGGACAUAAACAGAAGAUAACUAGUUACACAAGUAUACCGACUUUAGUGGUCGACCUUGUUCUUCUGCGUCUGCUGGUUCAUCAUCCGUGCUUCUGCUCAUUUUCAUUACCCACUGUUCAGCCUGGAACAGAAAAUGGUUGUCAAGAGAGAAAGUGUGAUCAGACAUAUGGAUUCCCAAUCAAGCAAUGCCUGAUUGCGAAUUCCAUUUUUUAAGAGAGAGAAGGAAACUGCAAUGUGUUACCAACUUGAAGGCAUGGUUCGAUGUCACAAUUUGUGAGGGCUUGGUUUUGGGCGGCGCCUCUGAACUCAUCUGUCCUGAAUUGGUUUCAGGCUCUAUGAAGGCUACCAGAAAAAAAGGAACCAACUUUCAGUGUGGCAGUUCAUAUAACAGAUGGCCCUUAGCUAAGAUCGAAUGUAUCUGAGCAAGUGAGUUGGAAUCUAAGCAUACAUUACUGAGAGAAAACAUUCAAAGGCAAACUAUUCAACCUAACAACAGGACCAGAGCGAUUAACGCGAAUAGUCAAACUGUUCAAACUAGAAACAAGGCCAUCGUGAUCAAUUUGAAACUAACUCUUGUAAGUUGUAAUCUAUUACUGUAGUUCACACUUCAGAGUCAAAACUCACUCUUGUAAGUUGUAAAUCUAUCGACUUUAUGCUAAAGGCCAUAAGUUAAACUCACUCUUACAAGUUGCCAUUGAUGUACUUAUGAUGUACGAGGACAGCUAGAAUGAGACUUCACCAUUAGAGUAUUGCCAGAAGUAUCAAUUUUCUUCAGAUAUAACAGUAGCACUAAAUUGAGGAAAUCCAUAUCAAAGUUAGUGAUUCACAUCCACCAAAAACCAACCUUAAAGGCAUUUCACAUUAACCAAUCACAGCUAGCUAAUCUCCCUUAGUGUGAACUUUCGUAGUUCUUCUUCACAUACUGAAAUAUCUAGUCAAACACUGAUCUCAGUUUGUAACUAACUGAAAGCGAAAAACCAAUAAUACAAAUCGACCUUACACAGUAAGAGCCCUGAGGGUUGAAGGUACUGGUUAGGAAGAUAAUUGAGAGUUUUUUGUAACUAGUUACUCUUCAUUUUGUAAACAAACAAUUGAGGGUUUUAACUUCUUUAUUGACGAUUAAAAGGUUGAAUUUCCUACGUGACUGUAUAAUUUGACGAUUGACCCAAACAGCUAGUUCCAGCAGCUUACAAGCAGCAAAAAGACAGCAAUUCAAUGGCGUCAGAGUAGGGAGAUCGAGAAGAUUACCAGUAAAACAGCCGCCGAUUCGUGAAUGCGGGAACCAGAGCGGUGGCGCCUGUUCUGGAAUUUUGCUCAACCUAAGAUUUCGAGGCAAGGAGUCUGUUCUAAAAUUCUAAUUUAACCUUGUUUAGCAAUUUCAUCCCUUCAAAUUUUUUUUGUAUGAAAAUUAAUAAUCAACGGUUUAAUAUUUGACGUAGCUUGUCAACGAGUAGGUGUCCUAGUAGUAGGAUAACGAAAGUAUUCGCAUCCAACUUUGGCUGAAUAAAUAGAAUAGUACGUUUUAAAAUUUAACCUAAAUUUAGCAUCAUUCAAUAUAACGAUUGAGUAAAAUAUUCCAAGUUAUAAAUAAAAAAUAUUUAAUGAAGCUCAAAUUAUUACGAGAUUUUUGCCUAUAGAAGUUUCUCAACUUAUUGAGAUUUUUAACUUUUUAAAUAGUAUUACAACUAUUUUAUAUAGAAUCUUGUUAACUAAUUAUUGAUGUGACUGUUGUCAUUUUAGAGAAAAGUUUUUCUAAGUAUAAAUUGUUGAAAUUAUAUUUGAGAUCGACAAUAACAUAAAAAGGGUUAGUUAUGAUGCCGAUCGAAAGAUGAAAACUUAAAUUUGAAAUUCAUUGUUUAAGAAUUAGAUAAUUUAAUUCGAAAGAAAGAAAUUUAAAGCUCAAUUUCAUGAGAAGACUCUCCAUGACAACAUUAAACAUCCUUAUAUUGAUUAAUAAUGUUUUGAUUCCAACCGAUUAGGGCGUGAUUUCGAUCAAACCUUGGACAAACAUGACAUCCAAAACCCAAAUAUGUGAACUUGGAGCUCAAAUCCCUGGCCACAUGACUCUAACAAUUGUGAAACAUAAGUAAAUAAGUUCUUGAUUCCGACAUAACUAACAUAAUUAAACCGGUAGAUAACAUAGAUGGUCGUCCGUUUUGUUUCAGCCCCUCAACAAACACGAUCAAACUCGAGAUAUGAAACCAGUAUCUCAAAUCCUCCAUUGCUGGAGGAGGGCUCGUUAACCUGGAAAAGGCAGACGCCCCUUCCUUCAACUGAUUCGCAUAGUAGAACCCAGUCCACUUUUUACCCAUCAUCGUCAACGAUGGUCCGGAAUGCUCCAGUACAAUGUCAAUUCCACCCGACCCGCCGCCACCCGAAACCUUGAGAUUCACCCGAUCCCCAUCUUUCAUCUUCAGCUUUUGCACAAUUCCAGUUGGAACAGUCUGCAAAAAAUAAUUGAACAGAGAGUACGAAAACAGAGUGUGUUCUUCAAGACACGUUUUCCGUCCCGAAAUAGGAGGAAUUAAUGUAAUUUGCUUAAUCUCUUAAAUGCGGUAGGUCGUUCUGAGUUGUUGAACGGCGGGCAUCACCACGACGAUGAACGAUGGAACGUAGCUCCGCUUGUUGGCAAUAGCUUCUCGCAUAGCGGUCUUGCUUUCCGGAGACAUUUUGGGAAAUGUAAUGCCUGUUGAAUUUGCUGGCCACUUCGAUUCCGCUCGCCUCUAAAUCAUCCAGCAAAGCCUUGCAUUCAUUGAACCUGGAGUCGCCAGCGUACUCGAAAGUGAGGAAGAAAUCCUGCUUGAUGGAGUUGUCAUCCAUGAACUUGGACCACCCUCUUUUGAACCAGAAUUCCUAACGGUCUUUUCCAGCUGUUAUGCCGGCUUCGAACACGGUGCCGUUUGGAAGGCAGAUCUGUACGUUUGACCACUUUUUCAUCGUCAGCUUCCUCCCGUGCUUCCUCGCGAACUUGAUCGGCAGGGGCUGUUGCAAAAGAGACAAAGAAAAACAGAGGAUAUGAGAAAAAUGAGUUAUUCGGUUUGAUUUUCACUCGGUUUGGUUUAGAACGAGCUGGCUCGAUAAUUUACGAGUUCGAUGACACUUGGCAUGAUGAGUCGGAAGAAGUUCUCAACGCUCCUAUCUUCUACUUCGCCGGCGGCGGCAGCGGCUGACGGAGAAGGAAAACGGUAUGUGAUUCCGCAACAGUUGGUGUCGUAGAACUUGGCAGAGAACUUGGAAUCCCCAAGGUAGUCGAAUCGGAGGAAGAAUCCGGUGGAAAUGGAGUGUCGGACCACGAACUCGGCCUACUUCUCACCAAAAUAGGCCUGGUAACCGCCGCCGGCAGCAUUUCUCCUUUUCACCGCGCCGACGGUCCAAACGGCGCUGUUUUGCAUAAAGAGCCGGCGCUGUUUGGCAUAAAGAGCUCUGCUGUCGACGAGAGUUCCGACCCGUACAAACUCAGAAAUAUCUGCGGCAUAACCUACAAAGAAAAUAUUUUUAUUCGAAUGCUCAAUCGAAUAGAAAAUCAGAAAGAAAGAAAGAAAGAAUGUUAGUUACCGUCUUCUUGGCUUGGAGGACAUGUGGAAGGCUGACUCUCAUGAAACUCUGUUGUGGAGGAGAGGAGACCAGAGGAGAUGAUGAUGAAGAAGAAGAAGAAGCUCCUCCAUGGCUGGCUGCCAUUGUUGCAAAAAUGUUGAGAAAUGUUUUCAAGUGGAGAGAAGAGGACAAGGUUGGUUUUAGUUUAAAGGUGGAUAGCUCUCCUCCUCUGUUUUUAAGGUCUCUGAAACUCUAAAGGGGAAACAACUCAGCUCUGCCUUCUUUGCUAUUUAAUUUCCUGCAAACAGGGUAGUAAACAUUCUUGCUAGUUUUUUACCCUGUGGUAAAAGUGAGUCAUUGAAUUUUGACAGUGUUGUAAUAAUGGAACACUAGCCAUUAGUAGAUCAUUUCGGUCAAGUUAUGUCUGGUGGUUGUGUGAUUAAUUGAUUCGACAAACUUGCAAGCUGAUACUCCGUUAGAUGCUUGAGUACGUGGGCUUACGAGCCUGCACAACUUCUGGUUUGAUUAGAUGACAAGCGAUCAAGUUCAAACAUUAACUCGACUAUAUUACUCGAGUUUGACACAAUCUUUAUUGACGGAGGAAUCAACUCGAACACACAAACGUCUCCCUCGACUAUCUUGUUGGUUGUACGAAACUGGGCCCAUCCACUCAUCUGCCUCUGAUUCUCCCCAACAACCUUGUUGAACACAGCCCACCAAGUACGCACCAAACGAUCUGGAUCUGCCAAGCAAAAUUUGUUCGAAAACUUUGUUGGCAGACGCUGCACCCAUUUCAGAAAACAGUUCCACAGUAAGCACACAGAAAACAUUUUUGCAGGGCAAAUCAGGGUUUAUGGGUUUUGUAACUAACCAACAAUCCAGGGGAUAUGUGAUAACUCGUUAUGACAACCAGUGUAGCAAUGUUGGCCGGAUUCCUCUCCUCCAAAGCUCUCUCGAUCGCCCUCUUGCUGUUCGUAGACAUCUUGUCGAAUACCAAGUUGAACUUGUUGCUCAGUUGCAUCUUCUUCAUCUUCUUAAGGCGGUCCAACAGUUCGGAGGAGUCGGGGGUCGGGGCUAGUAGUGGAUAAGUUAUCUCCAUUGACGUUGAGCGCAAGAUGAAGACCUUGAGACGGGAUGGCUCGAGGUACCUGUUAGAAGAAGCAAACGAAAACAUUAACAAGGAUUACCAAUCAGCUGCCUGAGUCUUUUCUUCGAUUCUUUAGUUUUUAACAAACGAUUCCACAUUUCUUCCAAACAUUACCUGAAGAGGAGGAUCUGUUUCGGAGAGAUGGAGUAGAACCUCUCGAAUCCUGGGACGAGCCAGACUCGGUUAGGAUAUCCUUCCUCUUCCUCCAAUCCAACUGUCCAAAUUCUUCCAUCAGCAACCUCCAUUGUCAGCUCGGAACCAGAGAACUCGGCCUUGAAAUUCUUCAUAAACCUCCGAGGAAGCAUCUAACAGAAAGAAGAGGAAGAAAAGUCACGAUCUCUGAGAAGGGAGAAACACAAAAUAGCCAUCUUUUCACAUCAACUUACCAUUUCCUUGUCCUGAAUGGUUUCAGGCAAUGGGAAUUUGUUGGCUGCAGACAUGUUUCCUAGGUUUACUCGAAGAGAGGAUUUUUCUGGUAAAAAGCAAAGUGAAAAUGGGAACAUAGAUGUGUUUGGUUUCACAAGGGAGACCAGAUUGUUCUCCUGCUGUAUUUAAAUGUAAUUUUUGCAUUUGCAUUUGUCCUGCAUUUGUUGUUGAUUUCGUACUGUUGUAGGCCUUUUUUACUGUGGUAAAAGUAUCAGUAAAAGGGGUUAUUAUUGGUCUAGCUUUUAUGUCACUCUUUCUAAAUAAGGAAUUCUGUGAAAAUUGUAGAGAAGUGACUCUCUAGCUAAGUUAAUCAUAAUAUCUCUCUGCAACUCUUUGCUUUUGCAGGUUGCUGCUGCUCUAGUACUACUGUAGCAGUACACUUAAUGACUUGGAUAAUCUUAGGGUUGCAUAUGAUAUGAGCAGUAUCGAAUCGAAUAUUCUCCCUGUUCGAGUUCGGCUUGUUUAGCAUCAUAAAUAAGCUCGAGCAUGGCUCGUUUAUAACCUUAGACCGUACCGAGGUCUGCCCGUUUACAACCUCACUAAGUUUCAAGAUUACAUUGCGACAUAAAAAUAUACAUUAAGUUCGAUCUCAAGCCAACGAGAGGUUCCUGAGCUAACGAGCUGAGCUGGCUUGCGAAUCAAUCACCAUUGGAUCUGGCUCGAAUCGUUUUAACUUUCGAGCCAGCUGGCGAACAGGUCUCUGAUGAGCUUUUUUAUAACACCUUUUUUAGAAAAAGAUAAGUUCUUUCUGAACAUCUCUAUAGUUUUCUUACUUGGUAAAGGUCAGAAGAGCUUUUAGAGCAUUGCAGAGCGAGGGUUCUUAGUGAUGGGUCUGUUUUGGUGAAACAUGAUGCUGUUCUUCAAUUACAAAUCAAGUGUGCUGGCUUCUUUGCAAAGAUAAAAAGGAAAGAAUCGGGUUGUGAUAUCUGAUGAUAUCAAAGCUUCAGACUUUUAAUGAUUCUUCUUGCUGUCCUUUGGGUUGUAUUUACUUCUGCAGAAAACUCUGCAGCUUUUUUGGAAUCUUAUCUGGGAAAUCAUAAUUGGCGUUCUUAUUGUAGUUCAAGCUAUUAGUAAUGGCUUUGGUUUAAAACAGCCACAUCAGAUGGCAUUAGACGACUUGUCGUUUUGUCAUUAGUGAUCGGGUUAGUUGACGUGGAAUAGAAAAAGAACCCAUCAUUCCAUUUUGUUAAAGAGACAUCAUCUUUUAGGAGAUGAAUUGAAUCGAUUGAAGAUUAUGAACCCGAAUCAUUUAUAAAAAACCGAAUCGGUAGAUGAAAAUACUUUAUAGCUUCCAAAUAAAAUAAGAGCUUCAAUAAUGAUGCGAUAGGAUUAAUAGACGACCCCAACUCUCUCGUAUUUUUAACAAAAAUUAAUUAAUAAGCGAUAUGAGCAUCAAUUUGUAAAACUAAGUAGUCCAAUAAGUUAUAGUUGCAAAUUUAGGUAUUUUAAUUUUUCUUUAUGAGAUUACUCUUAUGAGAAAGCAGACCCAAAAAUCGGGUUCGACCGGAUUGAUUUUGUACCGGUCAUCGAGUUGUGGAUUAUUUUGGGUACCAGCAAAUCGCUAUUUCUUAACUCAUAAGUGGACUAUCAUGUAAUCCAAACUUUAACCCAUAAUCGGGCCCACCAAUCUAAUAACCCUCCCAUUGAGGGAGCACAGGCCCACCGAAUUCGGAUACCGCGGGCAACCUGCAAAUGGUGGCGAAAUCAACGGCUCCCAAAACUUGUAAAUGGCCCUUUACGAAAACAUUAAUUAAUAAAUAUCUCAUCCUUAUCCACUUCUUUGAUUUGGGACGCCGGGGCCCACACCCACCUGACCACUCUCCACUCUCUCUUCUUCUCUUUCUAUAUUGCUGCAAUUAGUAAUCACCAUUAUCAAUCAAAACUCUCUUUUAACCAGAAAAAAGAAAGCAAUCACCAACUCUCUCCCAGAAAAACCAACCAUGAAUUCGACGGCGAUGGCGACGAAAUCAGCCCUCCUUCCUCCUCCCCUUUCUCUUCCCCGACCCAAAUCGGAUUUUAUCCCCUUAAGAAAGACCAUUUCCUCUUCUUUCGCCAUUAGAGCUUCCAGAGGAAAUGUCCCCAAGCUGGAGCCCUUCAGCCGGAGCAAGAUGGAUCGGGCUCUCCCCGACCCGCCCCUCAUCGAAAAGUCGCUCAACCAGAUCGCCGGUACAAGAUUUAAUUAACCUCUUUAUUUAAUUGUCUGUGCGGAUCGAUCUGGUGAUAAUUUUUUGUUUUGCUUUGUUUGACAGAUUACUGCUCGAAUCUGGAAGGAGACGAUGCUUCCAGCGGCUGGCAAGCCUAUUUCGAGCUCAGGGACCUCCAAGUAAUUUCGCCUUUCUCUCUCUCGUUUCUUCCACCUUUCUUUCAUCUCGACGACGACGGAAACCGCCGCUGAAAGCGAGUCAGUCCGGACCCGAAACUCGACCCUGCUUUUUGUUUGUACAGGUUUAGAUAGUUUCCAGCGUUCAUCCGCUGGCUUUAUCCGGGUCGGGUUGCGUUCGGGUCCAGCUCGGCCGUUUCUGUAAUCCAUUCCGCUGGGCCUUUGUAUACGGGCCGAUUCUAUCUGGGCCACGGAUUUAAUGAUUCAUUAUUUACCGGGGAAAAUAUUUUGAAACAACUCAUUUAUGUGGAAAUUAAAGAAUUAAAAAAACUCUGUAAUCCCCAUAUCUUCCUCGCCGACGUAUGUCCGGCGAAGGACCGGUGUAUUUCUUCCCCGCCGCCGUAACAGUUGUCAUCAGUCAUGAUUCCAUUGCGGUUAAAAGAUUUGAAAUUGUUGAUGAAUUUCCCCCAAAUUUUUGGUUCCUCAGGCCAGGGUUCCGGAGCGGGAAGUGGAGAUGCUAAUACACCAGGCCGGCGGGGUGAAAACCUUGAUCUCAUACCUACACAGCAUGACACCAAUGUUUAGCAACUACAAAAGAGACAACAGUACGGACAACAAUGGGGGAGGUUCUUUCUCCUCUGCUCUUCAGCAAGGAAGCUUGAAGAGGAUGAAGGAGGAAUGUCCCAUCCCCGAUGGGCUGCCGAGGCCGCAGGAGGAGAUCGACGAGGAAGAGGAGGCUAGAAUGCCUGAUACUCCGCAUACCAGGUUGCUCAGAGCUAGGAGCAGGUUUCCCGCUUGGUACACUCCCCGGCCUGACCAUGAGACUGAUUGAUUACUGAUCGAAAAAUGGUGGUGGUUUUUCGAUUCGGGUUAUAGUUAGGGUUUGUUUCGUGCGUCUGCUAUGUAUAUGUGAAUAUAGAGUAGUCUUCGGGUUGAAGGAUGGUCUUGUUGUUGGCUUUGAUUUUAUGAGUUACGAUAAUUGUGUAUAUAAUCAACCGGUGAUCAAUGGAUAUGUGGUAUGUAUUUUACUCAUUUUAUCGGUGAUGAUUGUGUAUAUAAUCAUCCGGUAAUCGAUGGAUAUGUGUGUAGGUAUAAAUUUUAUCGAGGAUUUUUUGUAACCGUUGGGGAUGAUCAUUGGGUGGAAAUUUGGUGGAUUUAGGUUAUCUAAUUGAUCUUAUGGAAAUCCUUAUGGAUACGCAUAUUGUCGAUACAAUUAUUGGGUGGUAGUGGAAUUAAAUCCUACACUAUGAUUCAUGCUCUCCAUGAUGGUCGAUGAUGAAAUUACUAAAUAAUUUANNNNNAUGAUGGUCGAUGAUAAAAUUACUAAAUAAUUUAUGCACGUUGAGAAUCGAAACUUAGAAGUUCUGAUUGUACAUUCUCUGUGUGAUGGUGCUUCCGAGCAUUACUCGUAUUAUAAUCUCUCUAUAUUUAGCAAGAAUUCUAAAAUAAAUUGAGGUCUUCUUAAAGAAAAUUUAUAAAUUUAUAUGAUAUAGAGUAUGAAUAUUUUCAACAUUAUAUCAAAAACUCAAACUCAAAAUCGUAUCACAAACUCUUACUUUUGAUCAUAAAUCAAAAUUAAUAGAUCUUAAACUCUAUAUACCAAACUAUAACUCGUAGUACUACAUCCUGAAACUUAAACAGCAACCUUCAGUCUCGAAAAUCAUAAUUUGAAGUAUAAAAUAUAGCAAAAUUUGACAUACAAAGUACCGAUACCUCAAAGAACCGGGACGUUAAUGUAUCGUUUGUAACAUAACUGGAUUCGAAGUGGAUGCUUUUGAAAUAACUAUAAUAUUGAUGUAUAAAUGUAUCGUAUCACUGGUUAAUUUUUUCGGGUAGGAAAAGUUAUUUUUUUAAUUAAUUUCCAAUUAACAUAAAAUAGAACAAUUUCCACACAGGCACAUACACUAGAAAAAAAAAAACAAAUUUCACAAGAAGAAAAUUUGGAAAAAAGAAAAGAAACGAAAGGAAGUAAGGAACAAAUUACAGCCCAGAACACCUUUUCCCGGGGAGCGCCACCGCGGUGGCGAGCUGGCGGCAAAUUCGACCGAAACAAAAAUAAUUACACCAUCUCUCUCGAUUUUAAAUUUCCAGGCGGUAGAAAUUCGUAGCUGCAAAAGAACUUCUCAACUGCCGAUCUCUGGAUCUCAUGCGUGGUCAACGGAAUUGUUCCGUGGAUCCUUCGUUUUCUUCUCUCCUUUUCUCAGGUUCGCAGUAGAAUCAGAGUAGGAUGAUAGAUUAGGGUUUAGAGAUAGGUAUUUUAAUAAGUUAGGAGGAAAAAUAUGAAGUCGAUGGAGACAAUUGAAGAUCUGAUCGAGGAAGCUAAGGUUCGGACGGUGUGGUGGGCGUUGUGCAUCUUCACCAUUACUUACUUCUUAUCUCGUGAGUUACAAUCCGCCUUUUACUUCUGUUCUCUAUUGGAUUCUGAUUCGGCAUUGGGGAAUUGUUUGAACUUUGGACUUACCAUUAUGUGAUGAACAAUUCAUUGCCGUGCGAUUCAUUAAACUGGAUUCGGAAAUGCCGAAUCGUAAACUGAGACUUUCGUUGGCCGAAUUAUUAGGUUCUGAGGUGUUGAAAUGCUAGAAUUAUGUUUGCUUUCGUUGCAGAUACGAGUUCGUCGAUGUGGAUUAACCUUCCAAUAUCAAUCCUCAUUGUUGCUGGAUUGCGGAUACUGUCUAACGAAGUGGAGUUUUACUGGAAGCCACGCAACUUAGUCCGGCCACAGUCGUAUCUGUCUCAUUUGGAAAAGAAGCAAUUAUCCGUGAACGAUUCUCGGCUUUCUUCUGCACCUCCACCACCGAGAUGGAGGAGGAAGAUUGAUUCACCUGUGGUGGAAGCUUCAGUCAAUGACUUUAUUGAUAAGAUAAUGAAGGACUUUGUGGUUGAUCUCUGGUACUCUGAAAUUACGCCUGACAAGGAUGCCCCGGAGUUGAUACGCGGAGUGAUAAUGGAUGCUCUUGGUGAGAUAUCGGGGAGAGUUAAAGAGAUUAACGUUGUUGAUUUGCUUACAAGGUAUUCUAAAUUUCGUGUGAUGCCUAAGGUGAUAAUUUGGGGCUGUCGGGAUUUGACGGUGGAAUUUGAUGAGUGAUUGUUUUGCAGAGAUAUACUUGAUUUAAUAGGAGAUCACUUGGAUCUCUUUAGACGGAAUCAAGCAGCAGUUUGUGUUGAUGUAAUGAGAACUCUCUCAACUGAGGAGCGAGAUGAAAGGCUCAAACAUCAUCUAAUGGAAUCAAACGAGCUCCAUCCAGCUUUGAUAUCUCCAGAGAGUGAGUAUAAGGUGUGAGUGUGUCCUUUUCAAUUUCCUGAUUCUAUUUCCUGGUUUGUAUUCAUUAAUGUUAAUGCUUUCCUUUCUUCAUCUUCCCAAAGGUUCUUCAGCGGAUAAUGUCUGGCGUUUUAGCAGUAGUGUUAAGACCACGAGAAGCUCAAUCCCCCUUGGUGCGGACUAUUGCCAGAGAGAUUGUUACUUGCUUGGUAAUGCAACCAGUUUUGAAUCUUGCAAGCCCCGUGUAAGUAAAAUUUCUUUUGUUUCUCAUCUCUAGGAAGCUUCUUUCAUAUUCAUCAUUCAUGGUUUCUCAUCCAGCUUUCAUGUAUAAACGACUUUCUAUUAAAAGAGUAUAACUCCUGUUAUUUCCUGAAAACAGGUAUAUCAAUGAGGUGAUUGAAUUAAUCUUGCUUGCCGUUAUAGAUAACAACCCAAUGAACACAGGAAAUGAUCAGGCCAGUGGGUUUGCAAACAGUGGAGCACCUGUCUCCCAGAAAUGCUCUACACUGGAUCCUGCUAGUGCCAUAACUCCAACUAAGUCUAGAACUCAUGAAGACACCUCAAUGGAUGAUGGUGUAGAUCACCCAGACUCUCCACGCCAUGCCGUUUGGGGGAAGAUGCUAGAGGCUGCAACACAGAGAAGAACUGAAGUUCUCACACCUGAAAAUUUAGAGAAUAUGUGGACGAAAGGCAGAAAUUAUAAGAAAAAAGAGAAUAAGAUUACUAAAGCAGGUAGCACGCAGGCUAAUCCGAAGGGUUCUUUAGUGACAAAUGCUGAAUUCUCUUCGUAUAUGGGGAAAGAAAUGGCAGCUUCCAGCACUGUGGUUCCAACGAGAACAGAUGGAAAAGUUGCUGGCCACCUAAUGCCUCAAUUAAGGCCUGAUAAUUCUGUAGUCAUUGAAAAGAGAAAUGAAGAACAUUUUAUAGCAGGUCAGAGUAGCGAGUAUUCUCUUGGUGAUGAUAUCGCCGAUGGAUUCAAGACUUCCAAACCUCUUACGAAUGAAAGUGGGGGUAAGCUGAAGCGGUCAAAUAGCACUUCUGCUCUGAAAGACCAGCCUGAAAAGAAGAUGGCAUUAGAAGGAGAACAUGGAGGUUCUGUUAUUUCAGAGUACAACAGUGAAGAUUUUCUUGGGCAUGCUUCGGAUCCUGCUGUUAAGAUCAUUCCUGAUAUAGUGUUACACAGUGAUGCGACUAAUGUUCCAAAGCUCAGGUCCAGGGUAUGUAUUCGAUAUUCCUUGAUGAAAAAGUUUGAGAGAUUGAAAAUGACUCCCGAGGCAUACUGAUCAUACCGUCUUUGUUGAUUAUGUUCGGACAGGUCAUGGGAGCAUACUUUGAAAAGCUUGGGUCAAAGUCCUUUGCAGUUUAUUCGAUAGCAGUAACGGAUGCGGAUCAGAGAACUUGGUUUGUAAAGAGAAGGUGUCUUUCUAUUCAACCUACCCCUUGAUGCUGGUUCAAACUAUUAUUUCUGAAUUUCUAGAAUUUUAUUAAGACACCAGAUUAAAAUCUAUGUAUAAUUUUUGUUGUUGGUUUUGUUUUCCUUCUCUUAGUCAUCUUCUCACCAAAUUUUGUUGUCUACAGAUAUAGUAAUUUUGAGAGGUUGCACAGACAGCUUAAAGAGAUACCAAACUAUACAUUGCAUUUGCCUCCAAAAAGAAUCUUCUCUUCAAGCACAGAGGAUGCUUUCGUCCAUCAACGCUGUAUUCAGCUUGAUAAAUAUCUCCAGGUACUGUUGUCUUUGUCUCUAGCCUUUGACAUUGUUUGUCUCUACCCUUUGACGUUUAUUUUUUGAUUUUAAGUCGUUACUUGACGUUGAUACUUAGUCGACUGCAUGUGUUUUGUAGGAUCUAUUGUCUAUAGCUAAUGUGGCUGAGCAGCAUGAAGUUUGGGAUUUUUUAAGUGCUUCCUCCAAGGUAUGCCGUUUGUUCUCACAAGUUGUUAUCUUUCUUAUUGUGAUUAGUUUUCUUUGCUGCCUUAUUUUUUCCCUGUUCAACCUUCUUCUGCUUUCAAAUUUUCCGUAGAAUUACUCUUUUGGAAGAUCUUCUUCAGUAAUGAAAACUUUAGCAGGUAUGUGAUUUAUCUUGGAUCUUGUUUCCUGUUUAGCCAUUGUCUUAAUUGUCAGCUUCACACUGAUCCUUGAGGAGAAAAUGGGCUUCUAGAUUAGGGAGCGACAGUGAAAGGAGUCCGAAAAGAGGUUAAAAUCUAUUACAUUUAAGGGAAAAUUAAGAAGGAAUGAUUAGGGUUUUAUAGAAUACCGAAUGUAGGCUAUGUAUGUUCAAAUUUUGUGAUCAUCAUCAAUCUAUAUUGGGGUUGAGUUCUUUUGUCAAUGUAUAAAAAUGAUUACAAAAAUGUGGAUGGGUUUAUUUAAGUCAUUCCUAUUUCCUCACUUGAUUGCCUUUGGAAAAACAGUCAAUAUGGACGAUGCCGUGGACGACAUUAUGCGUCAAUUUAAAGGCGUUUCUGGUGGCUGGGGACGUAAAGGCGGCAGUUCAGCUUCUCAAUUUGAUGAAAGCAGUUCACCAAGAUACAACAGGAAUUCACCUUGGAAUGUAGAUGACUCGAGUAAGGUUGUAUGUAGGCAAAAUACCAUGGGUACUGAAAAUAGCUCUUCCGACAAUGAUGAUACUCAACAGCAAGAAAACCAUGACCAAGAGGAUGUCAGACCUGGUGCACAAGCUAGUGGGUGGCAUUCAGAUAAUGAAGUGGACUCAAGUACUUCCCCUGGUCGACUAGUCAAACAGGAUGAGAUGUACAGGAGCUUAAAUUUAAAGCAAAAUGAUGAUUCUGUCAUGAAAUCUGAUGGUGGUAAUGAAGGUCAGCCCUCAGCAGUUAAUUCGGCCUUAAUCUCUUCUCGUGUCGAGGAUCCAGUUGGCAUGCCACCUGAGGUACGUGUCUGCCAGCAUUUUGACUACCUAAUUUGGAGGGUUGCAUAGAUUAAUUUCUUUCCUGGUUUGACGUUGAUACCAUGUUAUCUGUUGGAGUAGACAUGAACAUUACUGCUACGAUUAGUACUUAGUAAAUGUUUAUCGGCAUAGCUGGCUUUAGUUAUAUUUGGGUUUUGCUUCAUGCCUUUAAAAUGGAAUAUCUACAGUAAAAAUCUUAGUAGAUAGUUUGAUUGUUUUCCAGGGUUGAUUUUACUGAACUCAUAAUCCUUUUCUCUCUUUCUUCUAGUGGACGCCACCUAACGUUAGUGUGCCCCUGUUGAACCUAGUUGACAAGGUGUUUCAGCUCAAGAGAAGAGGCUGGCUGAGGUUAGCUAAUCAUUUCCACAUUUAUCAAAUUUGUCUGUCUAUUACGAUGUUUGAUUACCUUCAUCUCGUAUUCUUGUCCCGGCAUACCGAAUUCGUUUGUUCAAAUUCCCACCUUUUGAGUCUUGCAAAGAGGAACAACAGGUUGAGAAAUGUAGGGCUCUCAUAUAACUCAUGUCAAGGCGUGAAUUGUCGUUCCAGGAGACAGGUAUUUUGGAUAUCGAAGCAGAUAGUACAGUUGAUGAUGGAAGAUGCCAUCGACGACUGGCUCUUGGGACAGAUCUAUUGGCUUCGGAGAGAGGAGACUAUAGCUUUAGGAAUCCGAUGGGUGCAAGAUGUAAGUCAUCGGUUAGCAACAAUGGAGAUUAUACUUUCUCUUUUGGCAGUCUCUCUGUAACCUAAUGAUGGACUAUGUUUCUUUUUUCAGUUUCUCUGGCCGAAUGGAAUUUUCUUUACAAAAAUCGGGGUUCCUCAUUGCAAAGCCAAAGAACCUCAACAAAACCUUAAUUCAUUUCAGCUGGAACAGUUUGGUGGUAGCAAGGAGCCUAAGCAGAGCACGUUCGAGGAACAGCUCGAAGCUUCUCGCAGAGCAAAUUACAUCAGGAAAACACUCUUCGGUAAGAAGUAACAAAUUCUUCAAUCUUUUAUGCUCCUCGAUCGAGUUUCUGAUGUGGCAUUGACCGAAUUGAAAAUCCUUUGCGGGCGUUUUGGAACGUAAUGCCUGGAAAUGAAAGCUUUUCUUCUUCCUUUUAUGUUCAUCAGAUGGAGUUCCAACAGCCUUAGUGAGUUUGAUCGGGGCUAAGCAAUACAGGCGAUGCGCAAGAGAUAUCUAUUACUUCACUCAGGUUUGAUCCUCUUUUCGAUUUUUCUUCUUCUUAAUCCAUGUUACCCCUGUUGCUUGCUCGUCACUCCAUCCGUGCCAAAUGCAGUCUACCAUCUGCAUAAAGCAACUUGCAUUCGCGAUCCUCGAACUAUUACUAGUGACUGUGUUCCCCGAGCUUCGAGACCUCCUGCGCGAGCUUCACGAGAAGAUGCCUGUACAAAACCCCGCAUAGGCCACCGGCUAACUCAUUUAGGUUGACAAAAUCUCCAUGAUGACAUCCAUGGAGAGGGGUGCUGUUCUUGACACUUGUGGCCGCAACCAACAGAGCUCAUCUUUUGACAUCACAAGCACUCGUCCCUGUCUAUACGAAACAACUGGUCCACGAGACUGGGCUGUGGCAUUGGAUUCUGCAAACUAGUUUGCUCGCCGAUGGUGAGGAGUUGGUUCAGUUUUGGCAUGUACAGAGAUGUACAUUCUUUUCUUGAGCUUAUUUCAUUUUUGUAUAGAAGAGGAUCUUCCUUUUUCUCACAAGUUAACGACAGAGUAUAUUAUUAAUUUUAAUUUUUUAUUCAAUUAAAAUGUUUCACCAUUUUCCAAUUUACAACCCGGUAGUAGCGGGUAUGUAAACAACGAUCACUAAUGUCAGGAUAAUGAACAACCUGUUCUAUGUCAUUGAAUGUGCGGUAUAAUUAUCCCGACUAGGUAUAUAUUGAAUGGAAACAAAAAGAAUACGAAAAGAAUGACAGUGAGAGGGGUUUGACAUUUUGUCUAGCGAGAGGAGCAACCCAAUCCAAUUUGAAUGUUCGAACCGAAAGAGUUGAGCAACCCAAUCCAAUUUGAAUGUUUGAACCGAAAGAGUUGAGCAACCCAAUCCAAUUUGAAUCUUCGAACCGAAAGAGUUGAGCAAUCCAAUCCAAUCUGAAUGUUUAAAGCGAAAGAGUUGAGCAACCCGUCAAUUCGAUAUUCGAUAGAAUUCGUGUAAAUAAAGAGUGUGUCCGGACUCAGAGUAGCAUCAGAGCCUUGCGGAAUGACCAUGAAUUUCGUCAAAGACUUGAAGACCAAACAGUACCUAAUAAAUCUUACACAUUUCUUUCAGUCAACUGUCCAACCAAACUCCGACCCGGCUGUUGUACCCAGAUUGCACGUGCAAGUCACGAGGAUAAAAACAAGAAAAUUAUUAAAAAUAAAACAAAAAUUAACCCCACCAAAAAAAACACAAGAAGACAUCAAUCAAUUAAUAAAACACAUUAAUGCAAGGGAUUCUGAUAUCCGAGUCAGCCAACUGAGUCGAUUGGACAUACCCAAAACCAGGUCAGGGAAAGCAAAACUCAACUCGUUCAACUACUUUCUUUUCAGGUCAAGCUAAUGUUUGUUUGUUAAGGUUUUUAAAGCAGCAGCAGUAGCAAAGCACUGUUGUUUGACUGUAACUCUGUAAAGUGAGAGGAGGAGGAAGAAGAAGAAGAACAAAGAGUAGUUGUUGGUGAUGGAGCAGCUGCUGUAGAUCUGAGACAAAAGCUUUCGAUCUCUUUCAAUUUUCUUUCUUUCUUUCUGUCGCCUUUCUCUUUCAGAUUGGGGCUGGUGGUCUUAUCAUCAUGAUCUGAUUGACCCAUUUCCCCCUCUCACUAUCUCUCUUCACUUCUCCAUCACUAUAAUUACAACUCACCCAAUAAAGUCGCCGAAAUAACACCAAAAAGAAAUUAUGCCGUCAAGGCCUUACUUCCACAAGAUAAUUCUCCCCAAAACUCUUCAGGACAAGAAGCUGGUAAACGAUCCCUAAUUCUUCUUUGCUUCUCUCUCUCUUUCACUUCCACCUUUCAAUUGCUUGGCUUGUUUGCUCUCUGUGAUGAAAUCCUGUUUCUCAGUGUUAGCUGGUUUGGACGGUUGAGUCUUGUUUGUUAAGGGUUUGGGGGAAAGCGUGAGACUUUGAUGAGUGUGGUAUGGGAGUGGGAACCCAUAAGUGUGUUUUCUUUGGUGGAUUUGAAGUGGGGGUAAUGGAACUGAGUAAAAAAGUGAUUUUGUUGAUUAGGGUUUUUGAAAGAAGAAAAAAAGCCCUCUUUUGUUUGGCUGUGGGUGUAGAGUUUUCCGAGUGUUAUGAUCUCAAGUGUUUUGGAUUCCAUAAGUUUGCAAUUUGCUUUUGUUGAUGGAAGAUGACUAUACUUGUGACUCACCUAACUUGCAGUCAUUUUCAAAACUUAUCAGAUAUGCUAGUUGUAUGUUGCACUUUGUUUAUCUGAUCUCAAAAGUCUUGAAUUCUAUAAGUUGCACUUUGGUGAUAGUUGCAGACUGUUUUGGAACUUUGACUAACCUGCCGUUAUGUUCAUAAUUGUUCUCUUUGUACCUUAACGAGAUGAUUGGUGAUGAAUACAAGGUUGCAAGUGAUUGCUUAAUCGAGUCGAGGGUCGUGUUUGAAUUGAGUGUUCUGAUUCCAGACAUGCUUAGUAAGUUAGAAUCAUCCAUCGUUUGAGUACCGGUUUUACUGUGCAUAUAGUCUUUCAGCUUUCGUUAAAUGAAUGUUAUCCCUUUUAGUUUGGUGCAUAGGUAUACUAUGCCCUGCAUCCAAUUGAUUUUCUUCCAUAACUUCACUUGAUAUGCUUCUCUUGCCUCUAAUGCCUUUGUUCUCAUCUUCUGAAAAGUUAGCUAUGAUUAUGCUUACAUCGUCCAUCAUUUACUGCAUAGAAGUCUUUCAUUUUUUGUUACAUCGAUGUUAUCCCAUAUAGUUUGGUGCACAACUCUACUGCCUUCAUGUGAUUGCUUUUCCGAAAUGCCUUUUGUGUUUCGUGUGGCAAAAAGUUAGUUUCUUUAACAUAAGGUUGUCAAUGAUUAUGCUAAACUUUGUUAGAAAAAUGGGACCUAACCUAACAUUUAGCUGCAUGCAGAGGAUCCCAGAUAAUUUUAUCAAGAAAUUUGCAAAUGACCUCACCCAUCUUGUGAGACUGACUGUCCCUGAUGGUCAUGUGUGGCGCAUAGGAAUAGUAAAAGCUGACGACAAGUUUUGGUUUCAUGAUGGGUGGAAUGACUUUGUCGAGAGUUACUCGAUUCGUGUUGGCUACUUGCUGGGUUUCAGAUACGAAGGAAAUGCAAUCUUCAAUGUUCAUAUGCUCUAUUUUUCUGCCUCUGAGAUGUACUUUCUAACUAACACUCUCAGUGGGAAAAGAUGCCUUCUUUUUGAUGAUCUGGACGACGAGGACUCCACUGAAUACUUGAACUCCGUACCCGUUUACCAAGUUCCUUACGCAAUGAAAGGUUGGUUCUUUUUUCAUUUUCCAACAGAUAUACACGUGAGUUGACUAAUGAUUCACUUUCUGACUGCAAUAUGUGUAUUGUGAAGCUAACAAUGCACAUUUGUCGAGAGUCAACAACGUUCCGCAGCCAGCAAGUCAACCAGUUGUGGAACCGAAUCUUCAGUUCAAUGCAUUUGAUCAUCAGCAUAAUGCUUCUUCGGAUGCUGCACCACCAGCUAAGGUUCCGAAGAAACGCGGAAGAAAAAGGAAGAAACCUGAUCCUAGUAAGUUUCAGGAGAACCUUUUCACUGAAUCUUUCUAUCAACUGAAUCUGGGUUUCAAAAAUCUGUUAUUAAGUAUCUCUCUUGAAUGAAAAAAGAUGCAGACGAGGAGCAAGCCUCAGCUGCAAGGCCCCAAGAGGAUGGAGAAAUGAAAUUUAGAUUCUAUGAAAGCGCAUCUGCGAGAAAACGAACAGUGACUGCUGAAGAGAGGGAAAGAGCUAUAAGUGCCGCUAAAACAUUCGAGCCCGAAAAUCCUUUCUGCCGGGUCGUGUUGCGACCGUCUUAUUUGUACAGGGGCUGCAUCAUGGUGAGCCAGCCAACUAGACACCAUUGUUUAAGUCAUUGAACUGAUAAACCUUGCGACUUUACUCAUUUUGACUGAUAAAGCUUGUGACUUUAUAACAAGUUACUUUCCAUUUCUUUUGCCAGUAUUUACCAUCCAGCUUCGCAGAGAAGAAUCUAAACGGUGUUUCGGGGUUCAUCAAGCUCCAGUUCACCGACGGGAAACAGUGGCCCGUUCGGUGUCUCUACAAGGGAGGUAGAGCGAAACUAAGCCAAGGAUGGUAUGAGUUCACGUUGGAGAACAACAUCGGGGAAGGAGAUGUGUGUGUUUUCGAGAUGCUCAAGUCAAGGGACGUUGUUCUGAAAGUGACCGUGUUCCGAGUCAUGGACAGUUCUGCAGGCUACAUGAACCUUAACCAUCAUCGGAUGCCUGUUCCUCCUCCGCCCGCUGCAGCUGCUGGUCGACACUAGAUUCCGCUGCUGAUCGAGAGUCGAACCGGUUGAUGAUUUGUCUAUAAAAGAAGAAUCCCUUUCCUCCAUUUUCAGAUCCAAUUCUUCUUUAGGGUGCUGGGUUUUUUAAAUCUAUCGUUUCUCUUUGUGAGCUUGAGACAGUAGGGCUGUAAAUAGAUUGUUUAAGUCAAGCCAACUUCAAGCUGGAUUCAGAACCAACAGAUCUUGAGUUGAUGAUUCUUAGUAUCAAUAUCUGUUCAUGGUUUGUUUUCCAGAUCUUCUAUUAUUUUUGUGUAACAUAACUAUUUUCUAUGUAGUUAUCCACUACUCCAUUUCCGAUUCGGUGGCAUAUUCGUUAACCGAGACUGAACUACCGAUUCGGUUUUGCUAUGGUUUUCCUCAAAUGAUUAGGGCUCAUUCCUUUAAUCAAUUCAUUUCAUGUCUUAAACUUGCAAGAUCAUAUCUUUUUAACAAAACAGGGUGCUUUUUCAUUCCACAUCAACUAACCCAGUCACUAAUGACAAAACGACAAGUCGUAUAAUGCCAUUGUGAUGUGGCUUUUUAACCAAGACUUCCACAAUCAUAUGUAUAACCAAAGCCAUUACUAAACUAAUUGUUACAAAUCAAUUGCUAGAACUAAACAAUAAGUACACCAGUUAGGAUCUUCCAGAUAAGUUUCCUAAAAACCGCAGAGUUUGUGCAGAACCAAAUACAUCGAGAUCAAGAAUCAUUAAAAACAGAAGAUUUUGAUAUCAUCGAAUCACUGUUAUCAUCCGUUAUAUUUCAAUAACUCAAAUUGUUCAGAGAAGAUUGAGAUUAUUUCUCUACCAAAACAGACCCUAACCCUGCAAUAUUCAAAAAGCUCUUUCUCAUCUUUACUGAAGUUAGAACCAUAGAAGUAGUGUUGGUGGGCUAAUGUUGAUUUGUCGUUGUCUGUGAUGCUGAUGCAUCAACCAACCAAAAUCAUAAAGUGGGAAUCUUUUGUGCCCAAAACUUGACUCCCUCAUCACUGCAAAACGUAACAAGUCAGUAACGUAACAAGCUCCCUCCCCCAACUACUUUUCCAUCCAUGGCCUUUCUUCUUCUUUCUUCCUCUGCAAAUAAUAUGAUUCUUUCAUCCUUUAUCUCUUCUCGAUUUCAUCUCCACUGCUCCGAUUUGGUAUGCGAUCAUGCUGACAGCUUCCGUUAUGGGGUCUACUGUAGAAGCUCAGGGAACAAAAGUUGUCCGAGCUUCCUCUUGCUCUCUUUCCGCUUCUCGAAUUUUCCAGUAGCACGUCCAAGUGGAAAGGGGCUUUAGCUGGAGCACACUGUCUUGAGAGCCGAAUACCAGAUGGUUUGGAUUAGUCCUUCCCGGGAUUAUAUCGAAAUCUCUGACUCCAUCUAGUAGAGACUCUCGAUCUCGACCUUAUGCUCCUCCAGCUUCUCCAAAUCUCGGACCUGCAAGAUAGACAUAACCGAACACAUCAGUUGGUUCCUGCUAAAACAUUGCUUAGUUUACAAGUUAUCCGAGCCAAAUUAUUUUGAUUCCUCUUUGCAGUUUCUCGAGUUGGACAGUCGGCUCCUCCAGAGUUCCAUCAGAAACUCACAUACCUGGUACUCCGGCACCACCCACAAAUCAAACGAGUCGACACAGUUCGUGCAUAUAAGUUAAGGCUAAGCUUGUUCUAGGGCAUUUGGCCACAUGUAGUUAUGUAUCUGAGUUUUGAAAAUGUGGGUGAGUAGAAGAAUGUUGUUCAUAUAACAAUUUGUAAUCUCUUAAAAUAAAUACAAGGAUAGAGAUUGCAUAGUUGAAACUCGAGUCAAACUCAUCCUUUUACUCAAGUCCGGCUCGUUAAUUUUUAAGUUAGCUUAUAUUCGAGGUCUAGUUAGAACAGGAAUACUGAAGUUUGUGUGGAACUCGAGGAAACUCAAGCUCGGUUUGGUACAAAAGUGUUUUCAAUGAGCUCAAUCAGAGCUUUGCACGUUUGAAAUACCACACGUACAAGUUAGAAGUGGUGCAGGCUCACGAGUCUGCAUAAUCGAGCUUAUCAGCCUGCAAGCUUGCCGAGUCAAGUAUAUCCUAAUUCAUCCACUACUAAUUCAUUCAUAUCCCGUCGAGUUUGAAAACAGUUAACCGAGCGAGCAACUCGGUUCAACCACAACGUUAAGAUAUAACUUGACCGAACCAAUCUAGCGGCUAGCUAGUUUUCAUUUUUCGCAAUCCAAUAGCCCGGCUACGUUUUGCUAUCUACUGGAAUAACAAAAACCAUUAAAUUUGAUGGACGGCCAUGAUUAGCUGCAACUGGAGCAUUUUCUUCCUCCUCUGAGCUUUUUCCAGAUUUGUUGAAGUCAGCAAAGUUCCUAUCUUGGAAAAAACUUAUACCCUUUUUCACCGGAGCGGCAAAGUGGGUGUCUGGCAAUUAGCUGGCCGGAACCAGAAUUGGCGAAUUGGCAAUAAGCAACAAUGGCCGGUGCUGACGGAUUUGUGGGAUCAGAGAACGCCGAGGCAAUCAUUACCAGAAUCGAACACAAGUCUCGCAAGAUUGAGAGCUUACUCAAACAGUAAAAACCAACAGAAAGACCAGGUACAAGCCAGCUAAUUUCUCUUUGCCUGUUUCUCUUUGCCUCUCUCCCUCUAAUUCCUCUUUCUCCAUGAAAGACCAGGUACAAGCCAGUGGAAGCGCUCAAGACAACGCUUGAAGGAUCGCCUCCGAAGACCGGCGAUGAGCGAUGCAAGGUCCGUUAUUUUUCCUCCCUUUUUUCUGUUCCUCUGUAACGGUAUGAUGAGUUCUUCAUUUUCCAAUCCAAACUUAUUAGCAUAGAAAGUUUGUUCUCUUCUACUUUUACGAGCUGUAGUCUGCGAAUUGGAUAGUGGUUCAUUGAGCGAUUAUGGCGAUCAAAGAUGUGGACGGGAUGCUGACCUCAUUGGACCCUGAGUAUUACGAUAUCCUCAUGAAGUGAGUUCAGUUCUCCCCACUCUACUUAUUGCUUCAAAAAAUUCUUGUUCUUUCGUAUCCUCCUAUUACUGUAGUUGGCUACUUUGUUGUUUCCUAAAUGAUAAGUAGCCUUGCACCUAUGAUCUCAUUUGAAGGAUCGGAGAUAGUACAUUUAGCUUCCAAUGUUUCUUAACUCCAACAUAAGAUCCUGACUAGGCUUUGCCUUACUCACCAAAGACUAGCUCAGCUGAAUUACCAAGUUGCUUCAAUGUCUCACUUCCAUAGGUUGGUGAUUUCCCAAGUUUUUGAACCUAGGACGAGGGAUGCUUAACUCCCUGUUGCCUUUAGAGAACGUUUUGGGGUUGAACACCGUGGCUUCAUUCAUGAGUCCCCUAUGCUCAAAAGUUGCCACUUUGCUAGUUAUCCAGGACUCUUGUCAUGCAAGUUUGGUUUGAUUUAUUGACCAAGUCCCCAAGUUAACACCUGCAUUUUUUGAUUAUGGUACUUUCCUCCUAAACGGAUAUAUGCCAACCUGCUUUUUGUAGACGAAUAGCGGUAGAAUGUUCGAUUGCUCCUGCUUCUUUGUGCUUUGUGCUCUCAUUUUGGUUGCAGCAGCAUUAGUCAAGGAAACUAAGCCUGUUUUAUUCAGAACGCAGUCUUUAUUUUCAUUUAUUUUGCCACAGUAUGCACUUUUGCAGGAUUGGCAUACAUAAGCUGGUAUCAUUUAGUUGUAACUUCUCAGGAUCUAUACUAAGAGUAUUGCUUGAAGAAGGUUUGUGUAGCAAUCGUUGAAAUGUCCCCGGCAUAUUUGGAACCAAUUCUAUCUUGGUCUUCUUUGAUACCUAGCAUCUCUGGACAUGACCAUUUAACCGAUCCAGCUGUAGCUUGACACUUUUUAUUUCCUGGGACCUAGAUACAAACAAUACUAACUUACUCGUGUCCCCAAGUAGCAACUGCAAAUCACCAAUGUACUGCAUCAUCGAUAUGCUUAGCACUUGCUGAAUGGUUGCUCGUGAAACUGAUUGUUAAACAUUUUGGGUUUGCCAGGUAUGUGUACGGGUUGUCUACAGGAGAUCGGCCGACAUGUGAUCAGUGCCUGCGGAUACACGAGAAAUUGACAGAGAAGGCCGGACUUGGUUGCCUAUUGCGCUCCCUCUCUGACAUUGUAAAUACUGUUUAACUUGUUGCUCGAAAAUGAUAAUAACCUUCAAAUGCCUGUCUGUUACUAUUUGCCACUUGCUCCCCUCCGACCAGGCUUGAGAUGAACAUAUGUUAGUGUUUCUAGGAAUCAACCAGCAGUAACAUUUCUUCUUCUUUACCAUUUGCUUUCUCCUCUUUCUGCUAAGGGUCUUUUCCUAGGAUGAAACAUUUGAUUGAGAAGGGUCUUUCUCCGAUGAAACAGUGCCUAGUUGCUCAAUUCCUUACUUGACUCGAUAGGUUCAUGAACCGAGUCAAUUAAGCAGCCUGACUACGUGGCUCGUGAGUUAGCUCGUGAGUUACCUCGAGUUCAAAAUCCUCUUAUUAGUGUAAUACAAAUUCCUAAAUAUUAUUAUAUCAAUGAAAUGACUUCAUUACAAAACGACAAAAUUUGUAUAAUGCCAUCUGAUGUGGCACUGGCUGUUCAGUGUAUAACCAAACUGGUUAAGAUUCACUUGUUAGAACUAACUAUAAGAACACCAAUUGGGGUUCCCCAAAUAAGAUUCCAAAAAACCUGCAGAGUUUUCUGCAGAAGUAAAUACAAAGAACACUAAAAGAAUCAUUAAAAGCCUGAAGCUUUGAUAUCAUCAGAUAUCACAACCAAAUUCUUUCUUUUUGCAAUGCUCACAAAGCUCUUCUGAUCUUUACCCAAGUUACGAAUUUACAGAUAUGUUCUGAUCUUUUUAUAAAAAAACUUAUCAUCAAAAAGCUCAUCACCAACCUGUUUGAGAACUGGCUCGAAAGUUAAACGAAUCAAGUCCGAGCCAAGGGUGAUUCGGUCCCUCUUCUGAUCAGAUCCUGCAAACUCCGAUCACCUCCGAUUUCGAUCCGCCCUUUCUUCCAACCGGAUUAGAUGGACUCAAACUUCAAUCUCUGCCAUAAAUGGUUGGGAGCAUUCAUUCAACUACUAAUAUGAUGAACAAAAGACAGCUCAUGGAACAGACUAGUAAAGCACAAAGAUCACUCAUGAAGGUAACAUCAAAGGUGGGACAAUAAGAUUAACCAUCAUGUAAUAGAGGGGAGAUGGCUAUUGUCCAGUCCAAUAAUGGGGGAGCUCAAAUCUCAUUAAUGAAGAUCUCCUCUCAACCAACUGCAUUUUACAAAAUUCCUUAUUGAGAAACAUAGAGAGGCUAGAGCAAUUAUAAUGACCCCUUUUACUAUGCUUUACUACAGUAACUUUUCAUCCAGCAGACUGCCAGUUUUGCGGAAAUACACCAGUAGAAAUUCAACAACAAAUGCAAAAGAGAAGAGGUAAAAAUGAAAAAAAAAACCAUUAUUACACAUAUACACAAUCCAAUUCCCUAAUUAAACUGCAGAAGCAAAUACAUUAAAAGCAGCAGCAGCUGAACAUCUGGUCUCCUUUCUAACCAAACACUUUAACUCCCCAAAGAAACACGACAGUACAUUUUCACCAACAAACUUCUCUCUUUGCUAAGAACAAGGAAACAAGAACAUGUCUGCAGCCAACAAAUUCCCAUUCCUGCAAUUCUUCAAGGUGAUCUUGCCUGAAACCAUUCAUCACAAGGAAAUGGUAAGUUGAUUUGAAAAGAUUGCUACUUUGUGUUCUUCCUUCUUCAAAAUUAUGACUUUUGACUUUUCUUCUUCUUUCUGUUAGAUGCUUCCUCGGAGGUUUAUGAAGAAUUUCAAGGCCGAAUUCUCUGGUUCCGAGCUGACAUUGGAAGUUGCUGAUGGAAAAACUUGGACAGUUGGAUUGGAGGAAGAGGAAGGACAUCUUAACCGAGUCUGGCUCGUCUCAGGAUUCGAAGAUUUCCUCAGGUUCUACUCCAUCUCUCCGAAACAGAUCCUCCUCUUCAGGUAAUGUUUGGAAGAAAUGUGGGAUCGUUUGUUAAAAACUAAAGAAUCGAAGAAAAGACUCAGGCAGAUUGGUAAUCCUUGUUAAUGUUUUCGUUUGGUUCUUCUAACAGGUACCUCAAGCCGUCCCGUCUCAAGGUCUUCAUCUUGCACUCAACAUCAAUGGAGAUAACUUAUCCACCACUAGCCCCAGCCCCCGAUUCCGACGAACUGUUGGACCGGCUUAAGAAGAUGAAGAAGAUGCAACUGAGCAACAAGUUCAACUUAGCAUUCGAGACGAUGUCUACGAACAGCAAGAGGGCGGUCGAGAGAGCUCUGGAGGAGAUGAAUCCGGCCAACAUUUCUACACUGGUUGUCAUAGCGAGUUAUCACAUACGCCCAGGAAACAUGGUCAGACCAAAACAAUAAAAGUAAACCCCGUAAGAAAUCUGCCCUGUGUAAUGUUUCUUUUUUUCUUUUGGUUUCACCAAUGUGCAGUAUCUUCCAGUGAACUUCACUAAGAAGUUGUGCUCGAGGGAUGAUUCAACUACGGCAAGGCUGAAGCUCUAUGAGGGGACGGAUCAGGUGGUGGGCGAGUGGCCGAUUGAAUUCAACAAACUUCGAAGUCAGAGGAAUCAGAAAAAUGUCACAGGAUGGAACAAGUUUCGCCGGGAAAACGAGUUGGUCGAGGGAGACGUUUGUCUUUUCGAGCUGAUUCCUCGUUCCGAGGGGGAGAUCUUACUACUCAAAGUUCGUAUCGUCAGGGCUGCUGCUGAGUGAAGAAAAGAAGAACAAACGAUUCCAAUGGAACAGAGCUCUCUGGUUUUAGUUUGUUUUAGCUUCAUUAAACUUUGUUUUCAUUAUGUCUAAGAAUUAUUUCGUGUUAUAUCUCUCCUGUUCUCGUGGACUAGUUGAUCAUUUUUAUUGAAAACUAUGUUAACUGUGUUGCUCGUUUGUGUUUGUUCGUCGAUUAUUAGUGUUUGGGAAUCGAGUGAAUGUUAAGGUUUCGGGUGGCGGGUUGGGUGGAUUUGAAAUCGGACUGAAGCAUUACGGAUCAUCGUUGACGAUGAUGGGUCCAAACUGGACUAGGUUCUAUGGUGAGAAUCGGUUGAAGGGAGGGGACGUCUGACUUCUCCAAGUUGUCGAGUGGACUUCAUGUUUGUAGGCCGUAGCUAAUCUCCGAAUCAAGAACUUAUUUAGUUUUGUUUCAACGUUUGUUAAGGAUUGGAGCUCCAAGUUUAGAUAUACGGAACUUGAUUUUAUUGGUUGUAAUGUAAUUGGGGUUUUAGGAUAGGUGAUGUUUGUCCAUGGUCUGAUCGAAAUUCCGUCACUAAACCUUGCGGUAAUUAAUCGGUUGGAAUUAGGAUCUUAUUAGUUAAUAUAAAAUAUUUUGUGAUGAACCAUUGUGUUUCAAUAAUUUGAAUUGUUAGUUUAUAUAUCAAUUCAUUAAUAUGUUUAAGGUUCUCAUGGAAAUGCCUCUACUCGUGAAUUUGAGCUCCAAGGUUUUUCCAAUUUUCGGACUAAAUUCGUGUACAUUGGUAAUCGGAUUUUAAAACAAUAGAGGCCGUUAAUUAAUAAAAUUGCUUAGGAGAAACCCCGUUUGAUUUAAGUGAGCCGAGUCUGAUCUUUGAGAUAUUGCUCGACUUGCUAGGUUUGUGAAUCGAUUCGAUUAAGCAGUGUGACUACGUGGCUCUUGUGAGUUAGCUCAACUUCAAUGUCCUAUUCCUGGUGUUAUACAGAUACCUAAAUAUUAUUAAAAUUCAUUGAAAAUACUUCAUUACAGAGACAAGACUAUACAUCAUCUAAGACUUGAUGAGAUACAAGACAAGAGUAGAAAAUGGAAACCUUCUGAAGCAGCUUUUUUUCAGAAAGAAUCUCCAAUCUCAAAAUAGAAAGAUACAUAUACAUUAUAUGGUCAUACUCACAUCACAUAUGGUAUGAUGAGUUGCAGCAAUGUUGCAGACUUCAGGAUUAAGUUCAUAGUUAAGAUCUUAAUAAUGAUCUACGGCUCACAUGUCGAUUCUUGACUUGUGAUUCUACCCAUGUCCCAAACCCAUCAGUCGAUUGCAGUUCGCUACUUAAAAAUCGUAUCGUAGUCUUUCAGCACUUGCAUAACCGAGACCGAAUUCAUUCGUCCUUUUGCUACGGUUCCCCUCAAAUGCAUAACCAAACUGGUUAAGAUUCAAUUGCUAGAACUAACUAUAAGAACACCAAUUGGGGUUUUCCCAGAUAAGAUUCCAAAAAAGCUGCAGAGUUUUCUGCAGAAGUAAAUACCAAGAACACCAAGAGAAUCAUUUAAAGCCUGAAGCUUCGAUAUCAUCAGAUAUCACAACCACAUUUGUAAUUAAAGAACAGCAUCAUGUUUCAGAAAAACAGACACGUCACUAAGAAAGCUCUUCUGGUCUUUACCCUAGCUCUGCAAUGCUCACAAAGCUCUUCUGGUCUUUACCCAAGUUAGAAAUCUACCGUGAUGUUCUGAAAUGGCUUUAUCUUUUCAUAAAAAACAGUAUUAUAAAAAAGCUCAUCACCAACAUGUUCAAGAGCUGGACAUAACUUGUAUUCAAUGACCCACUUUUACCACCGGGUAAGAAAAAACUAGUAAGAAUAUUUACAGCCCUGUUUGCAGGAAAUGGCCAAAAAUCAGAGCUGAGGUUUUUCCCCUUCAGAGUUUCAGAGACCUUAAAAACAGAGGAGAGCUGAGCUUUAAACUAACUAAAACCAACCUAGUCCUACAUUUAUCAUCACUUUGCAACAAUGGCAGCAGCCAAGCAUGGAGGAGCUUCUUCUUCAUCAUCAUCCCCUCUGGUUUCCUCUCCACAUCAGAGUUUCAUGAGAGUCAUCCUUCCACAUGUCCUCCAAGCCAAGAAGAUGGUAACUAAUAAUUAACUAACAUUCUUUCUUUCUGCUGUUUUUUCUAUUGGGCAUUCGAUGGAAAAAUCUAUUCUUUGUAGGUGCUGCCGCUGAAAUUCGUGGGUUUGUACGGCUCAGAGCUCUCGUCGACGGCGGAGCUGUUUCUGCCGAACGGCGCCAUUUGGACUGUAGGCGUGGAGAAAGGAAGAAAUGCUAGUAGUGGCGGGAACGAGGCCCGUUUUGGAAAGAACUGGGCUGAGUUCGUGGGCCGACACUCCAUUUCCACCGGAUUCUUCCUCCGAUUCGACUACCUUCGGGAUUCCAAGUUCAAUGUCAAGACCUACGACACCAGCUGUUGUGGAAUCACAUACCGUUUUCCUUCUCCGUCGGCCGCUGCCGCCGCCGGCGAAGUAGAAGAUAGGAGCGUUGAGAACUUCUUCCGACUCAUCAUGCCAAGUGUCAUCGAAGAGAAACAACUCGUAAAUUAUCGAGCCAGCUCGUUCUAAACCAAACCGUGUAAAAAUAAAACCGAACAACUCCUUUUUUCUCAUAUCCUCUGUUUUCCUUUGUGUCUUUUGCAACAGCCCCUGGCGAUCAAGUUCGCGAGGAAGCACGGGAGGAAGCUGGCGAUGAAGAAGUGGUCAAACGCACAGCUCUGCCUUCCAAACGGCACCGUAUUCGAAGCCGGCAUAACGGCUGGAAAAGACCGUAAGGAACUCUGGUUCAAAAGAGGGUGGUCCAAGUUCAUGGAUGACAACUCCAUCAAGCAGGAUUUCUUCCUCACUUUCGAGUACGCUGGCGACUCCAGGUUCAAUGUCGGCGUAUUCGAUCCUUCCACAUGCGAGAUCCUUUACCCACCACCACCACCACCUGCUGUCGUCGACGAGACUGAAUGCGAUGCUUUGCUGUCUGAUUUGGAGGCGAGUGGAAUCGAAGUGGCCAGCAAAUUCAACUGCCUGACAUUUCCCAAAAUGUCUUCGGAAAGCAAGACCGCUAUGCGAGAAGCUAUGGCCAACAAGCGGGUCGACGUUCCAUCGUUCAUCGUCGUGAUGAUGCCCGCCGCUCAACAACACAGAACGACCUACCGCAUUGUAAGAGAUUAAGCAGAUUUCUUCCUGCGUUUUGUUUUGUUCAUUUUUUUUUACUUAAAAGCACGUAUUCCACACCGGAAUUGGCCGGAUUUUGGGCCAUUCCGGACCAAUUCCCGUAGAUUUGGCGGCUUAAUUCGGGACGGAAAACGUGUCUUGAAGAACACACUCUGUUUCUUACUCUUGUUCAAUUUAUUUUUGCAGACUGUUCCAACUGGAAUUGUGCAAAAGCUGCAGAUGAAAUAUGGGGAUCGGGUGAAUCUCAAGGUUUCGGGUGGCGGCGGGUCGGGUGGUUUUGAAAUUGUACUGAAGCAUUCCGGACCAUCGUUGACGAUGGUGGGUAAAAAAUGGACUGGGUUCUACUAUGCGAAUCAGUUGAAGGAAGGGGACGUCUGCCUUUUCCAGGUUAUCAAGCCCUCCUCCAGCAAUGGAUUUGAGAUCCUGGUUGCCAUAUUUCGAGUUUGACUGUAUUUGUUGAAGGUCAAAGGUUUCGAAAGGUAGGGGGCCGAAACAAAACAGACCAUCUAUGUUAUCUACCGGAUUUAGUUAUGUUAGUUACGUCGGAAUCAAGAACUUAUUUACUUAGGUUUCACAAUUGUUAGAGUCAUGUGGCCAGGGAUUUGAGUUCCAAGUUCACAUAUUUGAGGUUUGGUUCUUGGUUGUGAUGUAAUGUGGGUUUUGGACAGGUGAUGUUACUUGUCCUAAUCGGUUGGAAUCAAGACGUUAUUAGUCAAUGUAAGGAUGUUUAAUGUUCCCGUGGAGUUUAGUCAUAUAAGUUUGGUUCUUUCAGGCUAAGUUAUCGAUUUGAGAUUCAGGUUUUCAUUUUUCAAGCUCGAUUGGGGAGUCAUCUCGGUAGGAAACAGUUGCAGCAGUGUUGCAGACAUUCAAGAGAUCCCAUAAAUCCAUAGGCCAAACAAUAAGGGAACUCAGAUGAGGACAAUUUCAGUAAAGCCCAUAGUAGUGGUAGUGCUAAUGUUGGUUUUAGUAUUGAACACAUUGAGACUCAAGUUAUGUUGUGGCACUUUAGUCUUGAUCAUCCAAGUUUUACAUAUUUUAAAAAAUUGCUACCUGCAUUAUUUCAUAAUAAAGAUUCAAAGGAUUUGAGAUGUGAUGUGUGUCAACUUGCGAAGCAUAUGCGUUCUUCUUAUCCUGGAAUCGACUAUCGACCUACCACACCUCUUAGUGUAGUUCAUAGUGAUAUAUGGGGACCUAUGAAAGUCAAGAACAUCAAUGGGGCUCGUUGGUUCAUAACAUUUAUUGAUGAUCACACUAAGAUGACGUGGACUUUCUUAAUGAAAGAAAAGUCUGAAACGGUCCAUAUUUUUCAGCUAUUUCACAAAAUGGUUGCUACCCAGUUUUAGACUCGCAUCAAGGUUAUGAAAACUGACAAUGCCCACGAUUACUUCAACAAAGGCCUCGACUCCUUUCUACACCUUCAUGGCAUCAUUCAUGCAAGUUCGUGCGUCGACACCCCUCAAUAAAACGGCAUUGUCAAACGCAAGAACAGACACUUACUCGAUGUUGCUCGCUCACUCAUGUUUACACACAAUGUUAUGAAGCAUUUGUGGGGAGAGGCUGCUCUAACGACCACAUACCUAAUCAAUCGUAUGCCCAAUAGGGUCUUGAACUUCAAUACUCCUCGGCAUGUUCUUCUGGCAGAUUUUCCCCAUCUUGUCAGUUUCUCAGCUGAUCUUCCUCCUCGAGUAUUUGGUUGCACGGUUUUCAUUCACAACUCCGCACCCAACCGCAAUUGUGAGUCAGGGGCAGCUCCCAACUGGUGUUGUAAGUCAGGGGAGUCUUAAAUGUCAUCAGAUGAACCAUUAGAAAAACAUCUUCUUGUUUAUCAAAGAAUAAAGAAUACUGUGAUUGAGGAUGAUACUCUUGAAACAGAAAACAAUGGAGGAGAAAUUACGAAUGCUGGUCGAGAAGUGAUAGGUAAAGAGAUUAAAGAAGAGGGUGAUGAUUUGCGUGAUCUAGAGGUUCUUAUUGCUCUAAGGAAAAGUGUAAGAAAUUGCACAAAAUAUCUGAUUGCUCGACAAAUCAGCUAUGAUGGUCUUAGCAAUUCUCACGGAGCAUUUAUAUCUGCUCUCGACGAGGAACAAAUACCUAAGAAUAUUGAAGAAGCUAUGAAACAUCCAAAAUGAAAAAGUGUUGUCAUGGAGGAGUUACGAGCUUUGGAGAAAAAUAAUACAUGGGACACCCUUCCGAAUGGAAAGAACACAGUUGAUUGAAAGUGGAUCUUUACCAUUAAAAAAAGAGCAGACAGGUCGAUUGAAAGAUAUAAAGCUAGGGUGGUGGCUAGAGGUUUCACCCAAACAUAUGGCGUGGAUUAUGAUAAAACCUUUGCACCAGUGGCAAAGCUCAACAGUAUACGGGUGUUGUUUUCUCUGGCAGCAAACCUGGACUGGCCAUUACGUCAACUUGAUGUGAAAAAUGUCAUUCUUAACGGAGAACUUGAAGAAAAGGUCUACAUGGUGUUUCCUCUGGGAGUGAAAAAUUCGAGAGAAGGGGAAGUUUGUAAGCUUCGCAAGGCUUUGUACGGGUUGAAACAAUCUCCCCGAGCCUGGUUUGACAGAUUUACCAAGGCUGUGAAGCAAGGAGGAUACUACCAAUGUCAGACCGAUCACACCUUAUUUGUGAAGCACUCACCUACAGGGAAGAUCUCCAUCCUCAUUGUGUACGUGGAUGUAUCUAUAAUCACUAGAGACGAUGUAGAAGAAAUUAAGAGACUCAAGGAUCAACUGGCAAAAGAGUUUGAACUCAAAGACUGGAGAAACCUUAAAUACUUCCUAAGAAUGGAGAUUUCGAGAUCUCAGAAAGGUAUCGUAAUCUCUCAACAGAAAUAUGUUUUGGACUUACUAAAGGAAGUGGGAAUGCUUGACUGUAAGCCUAUUGACACUCCCAUGGAGUCGAAUAAAACUCUUAGCAGGAAGGAGGAUAUUCAUGCAGUUAAAAAAGGUCGGUAUCAACGAUUGGUUGGGGAACUGAUUUAUUUAGCUCACACUCGACCCGAUAUAGCUUUUGUAGUUGGGAUUGUCAGCCAGCACAUGCACUGUCCUAAUGAAGAACACAUGAGAAUGGUUCACAAAAUCCUAAGGUACUUGAAGAGUUCACCUAAAAAGGGAAUCUACUUCAAGAAAACUGCUCAACGGGGAAUUACUGUCUAUACUGAUACAAGUUGGGAUGGUGAACUCACAGAUCGAAGGUCUACAACUGGUUAUUGUAGUUAUGUUUGGAAAAAUCUUGUGACAUGGCGAAGUAAGAAACAAAAGGUUGUGGCUAGAAGCAGCGCUGAGACUGAGUAUCGAGCUCUCGCACUUGGAAUCUAUGAGCGUAUCUGGUUGAAGCGCAUCAGAAUGAGCUGAAGAUUGAGAUUGAUGGUCCUAUGCAGUUUCUGUGUGAUAGCCAAGCAGCAAUCAACAUAGUCCCAAACAGCAAUCAGCAUAGUCCGUAAUCCUGUUCAUCAUGAUCGAACUAAACAUGUGGAGGUAGAUCGUCAUUUUAUAUCUGAAAAUGUUAGUUCUGGUGUGGUUCGAGUGGAAUAUGUUCCUACGAAGUAGCAGAUUGUAGAUGUUCUUAGGAAGUCUCUUUCAAAAGAUGUGUUUGACCAUUUACUGUCCAAACUUGAGUUGAUUAACAUCUACACCAAACUUGCGAGAGAGUGUUGAAGAAUAUUACAUUUUCCUUAUUAGUAUAGAAAUAAGUUUUAAUAUUUUUCCUUAUUAAUAUAAAAAUAGUACUUAGAAUUUUCAUAUUUAAAGAAAAAUUCUCCUAUCCUAAUUCUAUAUAAACCUAUAUAAUUUUUAUAUAAUCCUUCAUAUUUUAAUACAAUUGAAAACUUUCUCUCAUAAAUUCAAUAAAUGCAAACCCUUCUUCACUCUUUUGAACCAUCACAGAGUAAAAAUACAACAAUUUGAAACAACCAUCUCAGACCUAAACUGGUUUCUUCAGUAAGAACAUGUAUGGUCUAAAAGAACAAAGACUGGUUUUGAAAGAAGUAUAAUAGUGUGUAAACAAGCUUACCACUUUUCUCCAGUCAUGAAACUGACUCAUAACUCUCAACUUCCUUCCCAAUCCCUUCAAUCAAAGAGAAGUAUGUACUAUCAUCAGGAGGAAUCCCUCUGCCAGCCAUUUCCCUUAAAUAGCACCUCAGCAAAAUCCCCUUCUUGAUUCUUACACAACCCUUGAAUCAGUGCAUUAUACGUUAACCUCGUCGGAUUAAACCCUAUACUCACCAUCUCACCCCGACCCCUCAACGCAUCCUUCAUAUCCCCUCUCCUACUAUAACCACUAAUCAGAGUAUUGUAACUGAUAUGAUCCAGUUUAAUCCCCCGGUUCUUCAUCUCCUCAUCAAUCCACGAGCCUCCUCGACUUUCCCCUCCUUGCACCGCCCCUGCAUCAGCGUGUUGUAAGUUACUUCGUCGGGCGAACACUUCACCCUAUCUAUCUCUUUCAACAAUUUGAAUCCACGGUCUAUAUUCCCGCUAGAACAAUGACCAUCGAUUAAAGCAUUGAAUAUUAUCCGAUCCGGAAGAAUCCAAGCUUGAUCUUUAACCUGAACAUUUCAGCAUACAGAACCCAAGCUUUCUCCGUGCGAUUCGAUUUCAGAAACAGAUUCAGCAUUUCAUUACACGUCUCGACUUUGGGAAGCAAAAUUUUCUCCUUCAUUGCAUCAAAACAGACAAACGCAUCGUCGCCUCUUUUCAAUUUGCAGCAAGCCUUGAUCAACAAAUCGAAAAGUAACGAACUUUCGAUCCCAAACUCAUCCUUAGCAAUCGCCAACUCGUUAAAAACUUCCAAAACGUCGACCACCGCCGCUCUAUUAUUAUUCCUAAUGGUUUGUUUCAACAAUUGCAAACUGGUCUUCGGAUAAGGCGACUGAGACACCACUGCCACAGCAAGACACUUAUUUUUCAAAUCGAGGGAGUCAAAUCCGACGCAGUUGACGAACCUGAGCGCCGAAUCCGGUUUUUUCUUAAGAGAAAGUAGAGUUGCGGAAAUUGCUGGAGCUGUCAGUUUGCGCGCCAGGUGUUCGACGGAAUGCCACUGAGAAGAUUGUAUUAAGUUGAAGAUCUCACCUCCUCCUCCUUCCCCGUUCUUCUCCAAGUUAGCUUCUUCUUCUUCCCCUGGAAUAAUACUCAGUGUCGAUUUCGGCCGCGGAGGAAAACCGGCAGCAAUUGGGAUAACCGGGGAUCUGUCUGGGUUGAACUGGGGAGGUUUUGAAGCUAUUGAGUUUAAGGAAUCGAGCUUUCAACAGUCUGUUUGGCUUCAUUUAUCUGACAAGAUGAAUCCAAGUUUAUCGAUUUUGAAUUUUGUUUGUAGAAGUUUCGCCAGUGGAAGUUGAGGAACCGGAAGCCGCGAAGAGGAAGAAGAGUUGAGUUGAGGUUUCUCCGGUGGAAGUUGAGCUUGGAGGAGUGGACGGCGGUGGAAGAGAAAAUCAUGUUGGGCCAUACCGCCCAUGUAACUUCUUAUACGGGUCGAAAGUAUUGAUCCUACGGGCCGCUCCAAGUUCUCUUACGGCCCGCUGACAAGUACAUUGACAUUAUUACAUAUUUCGACUUGAGUCGUUCUUUUCGAUCACCAAUGCACAAUGAGUACGUUAAGUAAUACGGGUGGAAUCAGGUCCGAUUUGAUCGGGUUUAGGCCGAUCCGGACAGGAUUAAGUAGGAUCAGAUUAGGUUUAGGUUUAUAAAUUAUGGAAAUUCAGGUUUUCAAAUCCGAAUAAGCUCAAACCCGAUGAAAAUCCAAGUUGACUCAAGUUAAUUCUACUUCAAUAACGCAUAGAUAUUAGGGUUGGAAACCCGACAGUCCGGUCAAACCGAACUUCGGAUAAACCAAAACCUGGACUAAAUAGAAUCAGGUUGGAUUUAUGUUUGUAAAAUAUAGAGAUUCGAGUUUCAAGCGAUCCUGAUAAAACCCGUAUAAAUCCAAACUUGAUAAAAGCCCGAUUUGUCUUGAUCGGUUUGCCCGGUGAUUCCUUGCCCUAUGUAAUACGCCAAAAAUCCAAUCGAACACAACCUAAUCGAGACAGACUCAACCCACCCAAAAUUCGAAUUCGCCACAAGCCUCGAACCCCGGGUAUAUGUCAGGCUCCAACCGCUUGCUUUGAUGUUGUCAAGCAAGCAAGCUAUCCCUAGCAAGUUGUGCCGCCGUAUCUUGGGCAGUUGUUCAUUUGCAUGCAACUUGCUGGUGAGUAAUAAUAUGGAACAGAACAAAAGAAAGAAGCAUACGGAGGAUGAGCUCUCUCCUUAAUUUUUCUCUCUCUAUUAAGUGGUAAUCAUGCACCCGACUUCGAAUUAAAAGUAAGGAAAAAAUUAAUUUUUAUCGGUGCUGUUUAUUUUUUAUUUAAUGAUUGAUAUAUUUAUUUUAAUUAAGGAUAAAAUUAAUAUUUUAUUUUUUAAUUAUGUUUUUUUAAUGUAUUUCAGUUAGGGUUUUGGGUUUAGUAUUAAGAUUUUUAUUGUGGUUUUGAAUUUUGAGUUUUAGGGUCUAGAGUAUUGGAUUUUGGAUUUUGAAUUUUAGAUUUUGAAUUUCGAUUUUAGGUUUUGGAUUUAAAGGUUUAAGGUCUAGAGUAUUGAAUUUCAAUUUUAAAUUUUUGAUUUUGAGUUUUGAUUUUAGGUUUUUGAUUUUUAAAUUUAGGGAGAUCGGAAGAGCGGUUCAGCAGGAAUGCCGGGAGAUUAUUGGAUUUUCAAUUUUAAAUUUUAAUUUGAAUUAUCAAAUAUUUACCCUUCUUUAGUUUUUUAUUAAAAUGACAAAUUUGGCCCUUUUUAUUUUGUUUGCUGGCGGCAAGGAUAUCCGGACUCUCAUGCACCCCACCAUUCCCCAAAUCAAUAUACAUACAAAACGAUAUGCAACUUGCCAGUAGCCAUUAUUAUUAUUAUUAUUAUUUGUUGGCAUCUAUUCUCUACAGUAUUAGAUUAUUAAGAAACAUAAAAAGGGUAUAAUUAAUUUGAAUGAUGUACGGGAAUAACCCAUUCAUCAAGGCAUUGCGAUCGAGUUUCCUUAUCCAAAUAAUAUUCCAUGGUCAUACAUGCAUGCAUUUACGUGUGUUAAUAUUUACCUUGUUGUCUCUAUACUGCUCGCAUGCAUGCAUGUAUACUCAUGGGUGACAACGAUAUGCAUGGGAAAAAUUGUACGAUACAGACUAUUUCGAUGGGACGUGUAUGAAUGAAAUGACGAUUUCGACAAAACGGAAACAUUUUUGUGGUUUGCCCUAUGUAGCUAGCUGACUGUGUAAAUAUAUGUGUAACUGUAUGAAACAAAAUAAUAAUAACUGGAAGUAAGUGAUGAAGAGACUACUUUGACCUUUUGUACACUUUUGCUUGCCAACUAAGCAAAUAAACGAACCAAUAAUUUGUCCAUGGAUUCGGUUUGGUUCCCUCGUCCCUUUCUCAACAACCAAACCUCAAAACAAAUCAAAAAUCCAAACUACCAACUUUACCCUCCAAGUAAUCCUAUACUCCACAGUAACGUCGCGCUUCCUUCACUCCAACGCCAUCCACAAUUUAUACGUCCACGUCUCCAUCACUGUCUGGGAGAACGGUCAUAAGGGCUCAAUCUAGGCGACUGGUAAUAAUCCCGCCACUCCGGAACGUGGUCAUCCACGCGCCAAAUCUUCACCGACCGAUCAAGACUCCCGCUAUACACCACCCACCGUUGAUCUUCUUCGCCCUCCGCUUUAUCCUCACCGUCCGAUCUCCCCACCGCCAAGCACUUGACGGGCCCCUAGUGGCCCCUCAACACAGUAAGGCCUAAGGCAGACGUGGUCCCCACCACCUCUCUCCUUCCUCCACACGCAGAUGCUUUUAUCGGCGGACCCACUGAAAACCAACCCUUCCCCCGCCGUGGCCAGGCAGAGCACCGCCAUCUUGUGUCCCCGGAGCGCUCCGCCGUGCGAGAGGUGCUUCUCCCUCUCCCAGAAGUUCACCAUCCCGUCCGACGACCCGCAGUACACCACUUCCGAUCCGACAUCGCCUCCUCCGCUGCUGCUCACUGCCAACGCCGUCACCGCGCUCUCCUGCUCCAGCAGCGUCUGGACUAAGAAAUGCUUGACGUUUCCUUUCGAUUCCAGCUCCCGCUUCCACACCUUCACAGUCCCGUCCGCGGAUCCGGUGAAAACCAGAGAAUCGAAUCCCGUCGCCACCGCGUUUAUCGCGUCGUCGUGCGCGUUUAUCGAUUCCAAACACUUGUAAUUAGAAGCACUGCUACCGUUGCGCCUACCGUCUCCGAUUCGCCAUACCUUGAGAGUUUUGUCCCAGGAGCCGGAGUAGAGAAGGCCGAGAUCUGGAUUCAGCGCCAUACAAGAAACAGCAUCGUAAUGCUUGAUUUUCAAAACGUUCUUCCGUCGCCGAAUCUGGACGUAGUUCUUCGGAUUGACGGAGCUCGUAAGCGAAUCCUUGAACGUCGGCAAGCUCCCUAUCCUUCCGUAGGUAGACGAGUUCCUCGACGAGACCUUCCAGAUCCGGAUUUUCCCGUCCUGGUGACCGGUGAAAACCUUAUCGCCGUGGACUACAAUCGCCUUCACGAGUCCGCUGUUCGACUUAAAUCCGGCGAACUCCUUCAAGUCCUUCCACACUCGGAUGUUCUUGCUGUCAGAUCCGGUGUAGAGAAGAUCUCCAGACGCGGCCAGAGAGUAGACGUGGCCUUCCUGCCGCACAAUCGAUCCGAUUAAGCUGUUGUUUGGAAGAAGAGCAGGGGAAGGGAUUAUCCAGGGGGAUUUCAAGUACGGCGAUAGCGUCGGAUUGUUGUUGCUGCUGUUGUUCCAGGGAGAUAGCAGUCCGCCGCCGUAGAAAGGAGAAGAAGCGAAUAGCAGGUCGGCGGGGGCUGGAGUGCCGCUACUGUUCGAGUCCCUCGGGGUGCUAGUCAAGCUUGAGGAAGCGGUCGCGAUGUCAUGAUUAAGCUCAGCGUCUUCGUGGAGCAGGAGUGCACCGAGCUUGAGCCGGCGAUUAGGAGCCGGCGGAUCUUGUGACUUUUCGUACCUCAUAUUUUGAAUUGAAUGAUGAUUGGAGAAGAAGAAGAGAUGUUUGUUUGAGAGAUUGUUAAUUAUUAUUAUUGAUUGGAGAAGAAAGGAUUGGGAAAAUACUGAGGAGAGGGGUAUUUAUUGGGGAGUGAUGAUGGUACACGUGGCGGCUAAGCAGGUGACGUAAUUGGAUUUGGGGCUGCGAAAUUGGACGUUAGCCAAACUUUAGGCGUGUGCUGGUAAUUAGGAGACGGGGGAAUAAUAAAAUGCGAAAAAGUGUUCAUACUCCCAUGUGCAAGAUUUUGUUAAUAAAAAAAAGAUUGUAAUUAAAUAAGAUGACCACGAAUUAGGCGAGUUUAAUUUUUUGUUUCGGCGGGGUGGGAAAAGAUUUGUCAAAACCCGAAAAAGGGCCGUGUAAAAGGCAAAUUUUGGGAAUAUGCUUGGCGUUGCCAUUUUGUUGACCGGCCCUUUUCCUUUUCCUGAGAAACCAAGUUAUUGACCUUUGACUUUGUCAACAACAAUCGUCUCCUUCCUUUCCAGACCGAUAUUUCACCAUUUCAAAAUUAAAAUGAAGUGUAACCGGCCGGCAGCUGCCACAUUGUCGACGGCGGAAAAUAGGUAAUCGAAAACGACGCUUUCCUUAGCUCCUACCCUGAUUACCGGCCACGUAGCAACAAAGCUUACGAGCUCCCACCUCAUUAUCUGGUCAUGUUGUAGGUUUCCUAGUACGUAACGUUAGCGUGAUGAUUGGAUUUAUGCAUGGCAAAUUCAAUAAUUAAUUUCCGCGCUGCAUCAGGACUGCCACGUGUUCGUCCAUCACUCGUGAAGUUUCAUUGUUCAUAUAUGCAUCAGAAAUUACCAGUGAUGUGUGGAUCCAACACACAACUGAUCAGUAAAUGACGCAAAAUAAAAAAAAAAUAUCACCCCAUAACAAGGCGGAGGAGACGGCCGGUAAAUAUUAUUUUACCGUUUAUUUUCAAUUUAAAGUACAUACUUAUGAUUUUUUGAAUUUGAUUCGUUACCAUUUUAAUACAUGCUCAGUGCUUAGUCAGGAAGCGAAUUAGAGGGAGUAAGAGAGAGUUUCAAUUUUCUCCUUUUCUAAUUCCGAAUAUUAAAUAUAUAUAAAUUUUUGGAAGCCUUUUAUUAUUUCAUUUAUUUAGUGGUAUUUCAAUUAGGUUCUUCCUCCUACUUGAUUGUUUAUGAUAAAUCAUAUAUUAAAUUUACCGUAAUCAAACCUAGCUAUAACAGGUCAUAAAAAUAAAUUUAAUCAAAAUUAGUAAAACAUUCAAAUCGGUUUCAACUAAAAAUUAAAAUGCAUAAUCUUUUUUUCAUAUUUAUUAGUAUUGGAUUUCGGAAAUUAGAACCACAAACUCUUAUGAUAACGGAAACCGGCCGGUCCAUAUCUAAAUUUUCUGAACCGGUCACUAUUCGUUUCUAACGUCGAUUCCUUACAACUCUAGCACACAGUUUCCCUUAAGGUCAAGGCGCUUUAAUUAAAUCAGCAAUCUUUUCCAUAAAUACGAAAAUGUCAAACUCCAACAAUAAUACAACAAAACUUUCCUGGACCAUAAACAAUUAUUUUAAUUUUUUGUGGUACAAAUUUCAAGUGAAAUGUACGGCUACAAUAAUUUACAAUAGAUCUUGAAUGAAUAUGUGUAUAUGCAUAACAAUAGUCUGAUAGUCAUCACAUUCAAAUCAUAAAAGGUUGUACGUAUUAAACAUUUUUAGCCACGGUCGUCUAGUGUGGACAAAAAAAAAUUCUUGAUUGUGAAAUGUCCAAAUAAAGAAAAUGUUCCUUUUGCAAUUAUGACAAUCUGUCUUCUUUAAUGAGAAUAGUUUGUAUUUAUAUAUAAUCUGAUACUAAGCAAUGUGACUUCCUUCUAACAAACAAUCACAUCGUAGUGAUCCUAAUGUCAUCGAGCAAAGAAAAGGGUUAGAAGGCAAUCGAAGUAGAAAAUUUUGAAAAUUCAUUUAGAAAACGGUUAAUGAGAUGUAUACGAGCCAAAAGAAUAUGAGUAGAUAUCUUUAAAAAAUUGAUAAAAAGAGAGGAGACAAAAUCACGAAUGUUUAUAGACACAAUAAGAGGAAAACUAAGCAACUCCCACCAAUCCGACUCUGUACAAUCACGCACAUCAGAAGACAUCGACGAGAUUCGAAUCACUGUGGUUACCCUUUCGAAAUGUGUGCGCAAUUAUGUGCUUUGAUUUCAGAGUAAUUAGUUACACACUUGGAAUGUAACUUUGAACAAUGUAGCAUGCAGCAUUUUUGUAUAGGUUCAUCAAGUUGAGUGCAAUCUCGCAGUCUAGAUCCGCUAGCUUUUCGGCUGCACGGAAUCAAAAGUCAAUAUACCUAAAUCCUCCUUGGGAGGAAAACAGUCAAAACGAAGACAAAUGACCUGCCGGAAGCUGACACGUCAACCCGGUGAAAAUUGUUUUUGUACGUUAAUUACCGCCACGUGACAACAAGUUUACGGCUGACGAGGUGCCACGUCUUUAUCUGGAGUGCGUGAGCGUGAUGAUUGGAUUAUGGCAUGGCAUGGCAAAUCUCAAUACUCUGCAUGAGUAAAAGAAAAUCUGCGUUUUGGUUCGGACGUCGCUAGCUUCAAAGUUAAAUGUGGAACAGCCACGUAUCAGUCGGUAGCUCGUGGCAAAUCAUUUUACCCCUCAGAUUUUUUGUAUUUAUGUAGUGAGAUUGAAGAUCCAUUUGAAGAAUUUGUCGAUCACUAUUGUACUAGCUAUGAACGGAGCUCUACGAACAUAGCAUAAAUUAGGAGCGCCAACUUUCAGAUCCAACAACAACGAUUUCAUGAUCAAAACAUGCACUGAAUCGGAUAUGAAUCGAAAUUAUUUAUCGAGCAAGUAAUUCACGAAUAUAUUUUUUAACCAUAAUACUAAGUCAUAAUAAUACCCCAAAAAAUUAUUCGUUGUGCUUUUUUAGUUAAAGCAAAUUGCCUGUAAAGAUUAAAUGUACCACCGAUGAUUUUGUUAACUAAGUAAUAGCAAAUGUUAUAAGUACUGAACCGAGAUUAUGAUUAACAUGUAUCAAGUACUGAGCCAAAAACAUUGAAUCGAAUUUAAAAUUGUACUAAGCCAAACUCAAAAUUAAAUAACCAUAAAUAUAUAAUAAUUUAAUAUACAUUUAAUCAGAUCGUAUAAAAUAUGAAAUACACUAAUAUACAUAUAAAAAUAUCUUAAUCCAUCGCNNNNNNNNNNNNNNNNNNNNNNNNNNNNNNNNNNNNNNNNNNNNNNNNNNNNNNNNNNNNNNNNNNNNNNNNNNNNNNNNNNNNNNNNNNNNNNNNNNNNNNNNNNNNNNNNNNNNNNNNNNNNNNNNNNNNNNNNNNNNNNNNNNNNNNNNNNNNNNNNNNNNNNNNNNNNNNNNNNNNNNNNNNNNNNNNNNNNNNNNNNNNNNNNNNNNNNNNNNNNNNNNNNNNNNNNNNNNNNNNNNNNNNNNNNNNNNNNNNNNNNNNNNNNNNNNNNNNGUUUCACUAAAUUAGUCAUAUAUUUUCCAGUGAUCUCGUCACCCGAAUGAUUCUACGUUGAUUAAUUAAUUAGUAGUUGCGGCCUUGCGAGGAAACAAUGGCCAUAUAUAUAUAUAUAUAUAUAGCAUUAAAAAUACACUGAUUAAUUAAACAGAAAUAAAGACAUGUUGCGUAGAUUAAUUAAACUGAACUAAAGUAAUGUGUCGUAUUAACAUGUGACUGUGUCUUUAAUAGCGGGACAGUUCCCCCCCUACAGAUAUGCUUGUGGUAUAUAAACCAUAUUAUAAUUAUUAAACUAAGUUAAGUUGUUUGCCACAUAUGGUAAUUAAUUAGUGUUUGGUGUAUCCGUUCGUAUGUACGAGAGACAUAACAAAUUGGACAAAACUAGCAAAACCUGGCCACCGAAAGUGCCGACAAAUUUCUGUAUUAAUUUAUUAGGUGCCGUUUAGAUACACCAUGAUCAUCAUUAUUAAUUCUAUAUCAAAUUUAAUAGGGGAUUAAUAAGUCAAUCUCUACUGAUAAUGUAGUGUGAGGAGUAGGUUUGGAAUCUAGGUGAAAAGGGAUUUUAGGAUUUUAGGACGAUUCUGAAUCGUCAGAUUUUAUUGGUUUUAGAUCUAACGAUCCGUACAAAAAGGAUGUGAAAGUCUUUUCAACAAAUUCAUUUAUUUUAUUAUUUUUAUAAACGUACACGGCCACCUCAUCGUCGACGUUGCACGACGACUUCUCGGUCACCGUCCGGUGAAUUUUCAGGCAAGACUCCGGUCACCGGCCGGUGACUUUUCGGCGAGACCCCGAUUACCGGCAAAUGAUUUUCUGGCGAUACUUCAGUCACCGUCUGGUCACAUUUUUGUCGAGUCUCCUACAAUUUUUUUGAUGCAAAUUUAUCACCGGUUAUAGUUUUAAAAUUAUAACCAAUUAUAUUUUUAUAAUGGAUUAUAAUCAUGACCGUUAUUAAAAAAUAUAACCAGUUACAUUUUUAUAUAACUAGUUAUAAAAUAUAAUCGAUUAUAUUUUAAUUAUAAAUGAUUAUAUUUUUUACAGUUAUAUUUUUUAAUAACUAGUUAUAUUUUAUAAUAACUAUUUAUAGUUACAUUUUAAAAAAAAUAUAAUCAGUUAGAAUAUCUACUUAUAAUGAGUUAUAAUCUCUACUUAUAACUAGUUGUAUUUAAUAUAUAACUGAUUAUAAAAUAUAAUUAGUUCUAAAAAAACUGGUUAUAAAAGAAAAAUGAUUAAUUAUAAUUAUGACUGAUUAUAAUUGUUAUUCGAAUAACUUGUUUGCAACUCAUAAAAUUUAUUGUAGUUGUUCUACACUCUCCUCUUAUUUCCCCCUUAGUGCUUAACUUUUGAAUUUUUAUAAAAGGUUUAAAAGUCAUUAACAACGGAAGUAAGGUUCAAAAGUAUUUAUGAAAUAUGCAGAUCGAUCAGUUAAAUUUAGAAAAACCCAGAAUAGUCACUCUUCCCUACCAACUCUGACGUCGUCGACGAUGACUCCCGCCGUCGCAUCUUCCUCUCCCUCCUCUCCGAUGACGAUCUAACCGCCGUUGGGACCCACCAUCACAUAUCCAAUCGGACGAGAAUUCAAAUCAGAGUUCUGAAUCUCUCUCCUGGUCCGAUGAUGAUAAAGAUUCAGACUCGAUCUCCACCUCUGUUGCAAAUGUUUCUCCCAACGUCAGUACUCUUCAGCUCAUAUGCAAUUGAUCCCGGGUGAAAAUCUUUAAAUCGAUCUCCUACAACGAUUCGCCAGAAUCAAAUCAGUAGAACUUCGUCGAAGUCGAUGAACGCGCAUGAUACAGAAGAGGAUGGACUUUAGAAAGGAAAAAAAGAAAAGAAAAGGACAAUAUAUCUGAAAUACCGAAAAUACCCCUUAUAUCACAAAUUCUGGAAGUCUUGGAAUUUAUUUGCUUGGAUUUUAAACGGCUCUCGUAGUGCGAUCAUAUACGUCCUUUAAAUUAAUUAAUAGAUUCCAUAUUGUCGACGUACGUAGUGAUCAUUCUUGACUUGUGUCUCCAGAUCAGUGUCACAGUUUGUUUAGCUAAUUAAUUAAUCAAGUGAUAUAUUUAAUUUGUUAAUCAAUAAUCUCCAUCCUAUUAGAAAUAUAAUGAUUUAUGACAUAGUAUUAAAGUUUUAUAAUUUUUAAUAACCAACCGUUUUUUCGUUUUGAAACCAGAUGAUCAUCAAUUCAAAUAAUAUAACAAUCAUAAUAUUCAAAAUAUACGAUACUGGUUAAUACAUACCGUUCUGCCCCGAUGAACUUGAUGCUCGUGAGGCGAUUAUAAAUGUGUGUGUGACGGAUUGUGAAUCGUGUAUUAAACUCUAACUAUGUACAGUUAUUGUUCCUCGAGAUUAGAGUUUUUCGGCCCGGUUAGUAUGAAUUAAUUAACGCGCAUCAUAAUAAACCAAAUCAUAUUUACAUGUAACUAAAUUGAUUCAUUGAUUAAUAUCACAUGACAACGAUUUCAUUGUCUCUGGUCAUUGUCUCAUGCAAAUAUUAUAUAUAGUUAUAUCUUGUAGACUUUAGUGUACGUGUGUGGAGAAUAGUGACGACAGAAAGAUACGUAUUUUGUUUUCCAAAUAUUUGGAUAAACUUUGUUUAAAAAAGUCAACUAUUUACUGAUAACCAACCUAAUAGCAAAUGGGACAGAAGAAAGCUACACGAUCAGUCAUUAAGGAUUCAGAUUCAUCAAAUAAAAACCUGUUGAACAUUACGAUUUUUAAUUAUGGUAUAUGCAUAAAAUAGUUUUUUUUUUCUUUUACAACCAAAACUUCGAUCUUAUUAAAACACAUACAAAUCACCCGAGGACCAGGCGGGAAGACUACGCUAAAUACAAAGAUAGUCGAAUAACAAGAUUGACGAGCAACUAAGUGAGCCACCUUAUAUAUCAUCAAAUUAUCAAACAUAAAAUAUAACAGAGUAUUUAAAAUUGAUUGCCAAGGCCCAUGCUGCCAGACACAAACCGUCACACUUCCCAUAUGUAUAUAUGUCAACUCAAAACGUCUACAUCGAUUUAGUUAGGAUUGCCCAGAAAAUCUGGUCACCUGAAGCUCAAAAGUCCACCAUUAUCCAUUGAUGAUCUUCAUAAUAACGGCACCUAUACGUUGAUUUUGUUCACUGGGGACAUAGACACCUAGUCAGUUCCCAAUUAUUGAUGUAGGCAGCUCGAAUUUUCUAAGCUCGAUAACUCAACUGUUCGGAUCGGAUUUUAAUAGUUGAUAUAUGUUUCUUACUCAAUGUAUUUCCAAGUUCGGAAAAUAACACGUUUAAAAAUAGCUUUUAACACCCUUGACUAGUAGAGUUAGAGCUCAAAUCGAGGCAAUCUCGCUCUCAAGCCACCUAACCAGAAAAUUUAAGCUGGCUCGUGAGCACAGUGGUUGGAACUAUUAAUCGGGUACGUUUGCAAACCUAUCAACGGUUUGGAUGAGUUAAAAAGGAGUCGAACCGUCUAUGACUCGAGAGUGAAAGAAAACUUGCAUGGGCUGUCUAUAAAAGGAACAAGGGUUUUCAAAUUUGGUGGACUUUCAUGGAUGGGCCCAUGAUCGAUUUAUUUAUCCACGUAGCGAAAUGAACAAAAGGCCCAUAAACCCAAAUUCUCAAACACCCAGAUAGCCAGAUGGUUCCUUAUUGUCUGCGGAUGGAACCACUAAGCUGAGAGCUUUGAUAUCCACCUGAUUCAUGCACUGACUCGUGUACAGCAGCAGUUCCUUGUUAUUGCCCGUAAUAUUAUCUGCGAAUAAUUGGUAAUUACCGAUUUUCGAUCUGUCUCGAGUUGGUUGAGAUAGUUUCUUUAUCUUAAGGUCACGACUAACCAUUGAUACUUUUACCACAACUAUAGCAUUAAUAUCACAGCCGUGGCCGAUCCAUCUAUCGCGCCAGCGUGGACCAGUAACCCACAUUGCCAUUCCUCUGUAGAGUAAUGAGGGCCCAAAACCAUUAGCUUAAGGCCCACGUAAUAUUCUAUUAGAGUGGGCCCGUCGAAUUUGAGUGGAUAGAAAAACUUUGAUGUCGGCAGCUUACUUUAGAUCCAUCAAAAUAUCUUACACAUGUCGGCCAGUCGGCCGCGUGAACUCAUUCAUGUUGUUAAUACAAACGAUCACUUCGUCAACUAAUUGCCGCAAUUAGAGGCAAAAGUCAUCUUUCAACCAAUGAAAUAAACCUCGAUCAGGAGAAGAAAUUACACGAGAUGAAAUUAAAAAAACUGUUUUAAAUUAGCUAAGAAAUCUACGGCACAAUUUGCCUCAUAGAGAAUAUAAAAUCGCAGAACUAAAAUGCAUGUUGAUGAUCGAGCGAAAAGUAAGUUAUGAGAAAAUAAAAAUAUAUGUUUCUCGAAUCCAUCUCAAUAUGCAAACAUCGAAUACUCUUUGUUAAGAGUAAUACAAGGAAGACACAAUAUAUAUAAUUACGUGAAAUAAUUGGCAAGCUGUAGCCCGCCAGCUCACUGAAAGAAUUGCAAGCAGCCAAAAAUAGAGAACAGUUUAGUUAAUUAAAUUAGACAUAUGCGGAUAAAACACAGGCGACAGAUUCGCUUCUGCAACGUGUCAAUCAAUUACAAGCCGUGCUCCGCCAGAAAGCGCCCACGUGUCCUACACAAACAGUAAAUAAUAUUAUCUUAAUGCAACCUCAGUCAACAAGUCAACCCAUUUGCUUAACUAUCACUUAAUCCAAAGUAAUUAAAACCCCCGCUAAUCUAAUCAUUUCCGCGCCUCCUAUUAAUAUCUCUGUAAACGGAACCCUUCACUCAAAAUUUAAAAACCAACCUUUUGAAGCUGAGACAACAAUGGCGAAACAGAGCUACUUAGCGAUGAAGAUCGACGGAGCAAGCAGCGCACUGAUUGCUUCAGAUUUCAACGAACUAGCCGCCGCAGCGAAGAACUUGGCAAUCCACGUCGGAGCCGUCGCCGGAUUCGGAACCUCCCUGUUCCAGUGGCUCGCUGCAAUCUCCGCCAUGUAAAAUGCUUGUUGCUCGAAACCCUAAUUUCUUUUCAUUUUUUGUUUUUGUAUCGUCGAUUUGAAUGGAAUUGGAUCGUUCUGUAUGUGUAACAGAUAUCUACUGAUACUGGAUCGGACGAAUUGGAAGACUAACAUUCUCACAGGGUUACUCAUCCCUUACAUCUUCUUCACCUUGCCUCAUUUCCUCUUCAGUUUCCUCCGGUAAAGUUCAGAUUUGGACGAAUCUUUCCUUGAUUAGAUUUCAAACUGAUGAAUUGAAUGUUCAUUGAACCAAUUUUUUUACCUGGAGUUUUGCUUACAGAGGGGAGAUCGGGAAAUGGGCUGCGCUCGUCGCUAUUGUGGUUCGCCUGUUCUUCCCCAGCCAAUUCGCAGGUGAGAUUAUAGAGUCUGGUGUAAAAUUUACUUCCAUCAAUCCUGGUUAAUAUAGCCUUUAAUCAGCACUGGUUGUUGGAUAAACGGAAGUUCCCAGAAGAGUACAAGGUUUGCAGAACUUGAUAUUGGGAGAUAGUUUAUGAUGUGAUAUCAGACUUUUUGUUUAACAAAAAAGCCAUCGUUUCAAAUUUCAAUAACUCCAAAUCUGUUACCAAAACUGUGCAAAACUCCAAGCCGUGUACCCCCUGAUAGCCUCCCUUCGAGGAGCAGGGGUAUUAGCUCAUAAUCUAAAAUCAAUUUAAAUCAUCUUCCAAUGACUCGAGUUAGUUAUCAGAGCCUUUAACGUUUACGAGGUCUUCGUUUCAAAUUUAGGUAGUUUCCAAUCUGUACACAUAACUUAUCAAAAUUAUAAAAAUUUCAACUUGAAGAUUAAAGAGGCAUGUUGAUAAAUAAUAUAAAAUUAUGGUCUGACCUUUUUUCAACCACUUUUGAAUUAUUAGAAUAAAAUAGUUCUCGACGUGGAUUAAAAAAACUUGACAUUUUGUCCUUUUGGGAUUCAAAAACUUCAGAUUUUGUCAUGAAUUAUGGCUUUUUGAGUCAUUUUAUAUCGUUCAUUGCCAGUUAUUGGAAUCGAUUAUAGACUAAAUGAGAUUGUUGGAAUCUUUUUUGGUACAGAAUGGCUAGAGAUGCCGGCUUCGUCGAUCCUACUAAUAGUGGUGGCACCAGAGUUGAUCGCCGGCUACGCGAGAGGGAACUGGAUCGGAGUAGCGAUAUGCCUUGGGAUUGCCUGCUACUUGCUCCAGGAACACAUCAGAGCCUCCGGCGGGUUUAAGAACGCCUUCACCAAAGAAGCAGGAAUCUCCAACACCAUUGGAAUUUGUCUCCUCUUUGUUUACCCUGCCUACUCUCUCAUCAGAAGUAUCCUCUGAGAGAGAUUAGUUGUGAUUUCUUUCAGUGUUUGCUUUUGUGUUUCUUUUUUUGCGAUUCAAUUAAAAUUAAUGGGUUUGGACAGCAAUGUUAUCAAAUUUGAUGAUGUUGUUGUCCUACCGUAUGCAUUCUUGUUCAUGUCUUUUUCUCGAUUUAAAAGGUAGAGCUCCGAUCUUUGGUUGAUAAACUUGUUUAUCGGAGUCCGAGUUGUGACUCAUAUUGAUUGCCGACUGACAAACGAUACCCGAAAAGACACAACCUUCAUCAAGAUCGGUGUGACAUUGGGUCAAAAUAUCGCUAAACUAUGUAAAAUCGGUCUCCCGCCCGCCAGCCGUCAGACGACCUCUUUAACGUCCGUUUCAAACACCACCUUCUCAUGGCCAGCAUCCACCUCAUUGCAGCCAGCAGAGCGCGGGCCUCGCUUUCGAUCCCCGGAGUUUAUUAAGAUUUUUUAACCACAUUCAUAUAAUUUGAUUUCUUCAAUGAUUAAUCUCGGCAGCUGUAGUUCAUUAAACGCAGUGCGGAUUUUGCUUAAUCGUCCGCCCCUACGGACACUUUAAUACAACGGUGGGUCAUGGGUCCGUUCGGAUCCAACGGUGAAAUAUGUCCAACUUGUUUUUUUUUUCAUUUUUUCCUACACCAUAUCUUUUCGAUUUGAGUUGGUUUUAUAUUGAGUUUUGGGUUGCGAUUUUGGAUUUUUGGGUUUUAGAUUUUGGGUUUGGUUUAGUGUAAAAAAAUAAUGUUCAUGUUCGGUUGGUUUUAAUUUUGAGUGUUGGGUCAAACUGAAAAUUUAAAAUCCAAAUUGAAAACCUAAUACUCCAUACCCUAAACCUUAAACUCUAAACAUAUCCAAAAUAAAAAAACCCAAAACUACGCAAAAUUCAAUUUAAAACCAACUCGAACCAAAAAGAUNNNNNNNNNNNNNNNNNNNNNNNNNNNNNNNNNNNNNNNNNNNNNNNNNNNNNNNNNNNNNNNNNNNNNNNNNNNNNNNNNNNNNNNNNNNNNNNNNNNNNNNNNNNNNNNNNNNNNNNNNNNNNNNNNNNNNNNNNNNNNNNNNNNNNNNNNNNNNNNNNAUUUUAUUUUUAUAAAAUUAUAAAUAAAAAAUAUGAAAUAAAUAUAUCUUGUGAAUAUUAUAAAAAUAGAUUUUAAUUUAUUAAAAUGGACUGCACGAAGUAAAAACAGACUGUACGAAGGAAAAGUGGAUUGUGUUCGUAAAAAUGGAUUGGACAAAGUAAUUUUUUUAAUUAAGAGUAUAUUAGUUUAUAUACGGACUGUACGAAAUAAAGACAGACUAUAUAUAACAUUAAAAAAAAACACAAGUUGAAAACAUAUCACCGUUGGAUUCUGCCGAAUUCAUCAACGACCGUAUCAAGUCUCCACCGGGGCGGACGAUUAAGCAGUCCGCACCCAAGUAAUUUUGCAUUCAACACCCAGCUCACUGUAUCCAAAACUUAACAGCUCAAACAAAAAGAAAACAAUAUCCAAUAGUAGAAAUAUGCGGAUAUCAAUAGAUUCGCAUCGGCCACGUGUCGACCAUCUACAAGUGGUUUUCCGCCAGCAAGCGCUGACGUGGCCUACACAAAUAAUGCACUGAGUCAACAAGUCAACUCAUUUGCUUAACCGACAAUUAAUUCAAAGUAAUUAAAACUGCUAAUCUAAUCAAUAAUCAUUUCCGAAGGCAUACUUUUGCAGCGGAAGGAAUCCCCCCUAUUGAGAGGAAUUAGGGUUUUAAAAAUCUAUAAACUUUCGAGGUCGAUCGUAGUCUUCUUUCCAUCGAAUUUCCCCCCGACAAUAACACCACCAUCGUCUCUAUCACGAUUACAUAAUCAAAACAAGUUAAGGGUUUCAACAACCCUCGAUAUUUUCUUUCAACGCUGAUUGUUGCAUCGCUGUGUCGCUUUCCUCCCUUUAUUGAUCAUUACCGUCGCCCCCUCUCCCCUCUCCACCCGCCGAUCACCAUGGCGAGCACUACAACCACUGUUGCGGAGACGACCGAAGAAGAAACUGAAGCAAAUAGUGUCAUAAAAGGUGUGGUAUAAAGUUUCGAGAGCCUCUCGAAACAUAUGAAAGGUAUUCAGGGAAAUCCAAAAAAUCUGACAACGGCAGAUUUGAACAACAGGUCCUGCCCCAAGAAGUGAUCCGCCGACGAAAACUCACUUGAGGUAUCGGUUUUUCAAGUGUUUGAUAUUUUGGGUGUCUCCAAUUCGGAUUUCACCAGUCUUUUAUUGCUUUUUAAGUUUCAGAAUUCAUAUGUUUCUUUCUGAUUGAACAAUUAUUUAUUUAUUUAUUUUCAUUAUUGCUAUCGUGUAGAAUUUAGAGUUUGAAAUAUUAACUCAUAUAUAAGGGUUUUUGAUAGAGAAAUGAUUAAAAACAUAAAAAUAAGAGAUUAAAUUACUUUUUUAUAAGGUUGAACUUUACUCGUUAUGAAUGAUAAUUUUUUUUUAAAAUUAUUUGACAAACUUAAUAUGAUUUGGUUAAGAGUAUAAUAAUAUAAGUAGAUCAUUUUUUAAACCCAAAAUCAAUUAUCAUUUCCGGCCUCCUAUUAAUAUCUCUGUAAAAUAAAUCAUUCACUCUUAAGAGCUGAAACAAUGGCGAGACAGAGCUACUUAGCGAUGAAGAUCGACGGAGCAAGCACCGCACUGAUCGCUUCCGAUUUCAACGACCUAACCGCCGCAGCGAAGAACUUAGCAAUCCACGUCGGAGCCGUUGCCGGAUUCGGAACCUCCCUGUUCCAGUGGCUCGCUGCAAUCUCCGCCAUGUAAAAUGCUUGUUGCUCGAAACCCUAAUUUCUUUUCAUUUUUUGUUUUUGUAUUGUCGAUUUGAAUGGAAUUGGAUCGUUCUGCAUGUGUAACAGAUAUCUACUGAUAC